ACCCUACUCUAAUAAGGCUUUAAUAUCUGGAGCUCAUAGGUGGGAGAUAGCUAAUACAUACUUACAAGACAUUUAUUGCAUAGUCAAACCAUGGAUCCAGAGAAACAAGUCAAUAAGUCAAAUCAAGAUGUGCAUGUGUGGCGAAUGAAUGGUGUAUGGUGAUGAUGGUGAUACAAUGGUGGAAGUCUAAUUCUACUUUUGCUCUUUUGAGGGGAUACAUACCUUCCUUGCUUUUUGAAACUUUAUGAGGAGAAUGAGAUGCUCUAUCUUUCAUUUUUUUCUUUCCUCUCAGGUGGGUAUCCUGUACCCCUAAUUCUACUGUCGGACACUUGUCCAUUUUUACCUCUCGUCUCACUUUUUCUUUCUUUCGAGGUUCCGGGCACUUGCCCCUUUUUAUUUCCUCGUAUAUAUUUUUUUCUCUCCUUUUUUUAGAGCACUCAUCUCAUGAGAUAAUAUAGCAAGUGAUAGUAACAAGAUAACUUGAGCAUUUAUUUCACAAGGAAAAAUAGAAAUAUUUUUGGUUAUUCUCUCCCGGAUUAGGAGUAGAAUAUUUUUGGGUGGUUCUGGAGAUGGAAAUGAGUGGAUAUAUGUGGAUGGUACUUCCGGAGUAGAAGUAGCAUAUAUGAGUGAAUGUGCAAGUGAAAUCUUUAUUUAACCACAUGACAAGCUCCUAAGGGUCUACACAGCUUGACCACACUCAAUGCUCAUAAGCAGUAAAUAGUAAAUGUGUGGCUCAAAGUCUAGCAAGCAUGUAUAUAUGGCUGUGGUAGGAAUUUAAACUUUCAUCAUACAGGAACUCAUCAUGCAAUAUUUUAAAGAUUUUUCAAAGAUAAAAUUCUCCAGAAUUCUAGCAUCUCUAAGAACAGAUAAAUAGCAGCUCAGCCUUCCCAUAUCAUAUCCGUUAACAACUUAGAUUUCAGAUCAAGGUUUCAUCCCACAAGUUUAGAUCUAGAGCAAGCUUUAAAUUAUAACAGUGAAGGUACUUAUGGGUUUUAUGCCACUCGUAUACUCACAUGGGGCUUAGUAUUUUUUACAUUUUUAUUUUCUUUUCAAGAUAGCAUGAUUAAAUAAUAAUCUAUUUAAGGAAAGUAAAUAAUUAAAGAGAAAAGGGAAUGCAGAAAGGAUAAAUAUGGAUAACUACUGAUCUUACCUUUCGGCGAGGGUUCAAUGUUUUAAGUCUUCUUAACAAGACUUCUCACCGUGUUUAUUCUUCAGGUGCGUCAUUUGAUUCAGGUGCGGACCUUGACGUCUGCACCUCUUGAUACGGUGUCACCCAUGUUCUUCGUUUGCCCUGCAGUUCGAAGUGCGGCGUUGGCAGUAACCUGCUCAGUGUGUUUGUGCUUGUAGAUCCAGGUCCUUCACUUGGUAGAGUCUGAGAGCUAUAAAACUCCUCUGUGUUUUGCUCAAAGUGUACCUGCUCAUAGAGACAAGGCAGAGAUCAAGUGCAUUGGUCCUGUUGGUGGAAAACACCAACAGGACCUAAAGUGUAUUUGUUCUUCACUAACCCUAAGCAUAGUGAGCAAGACAAACUUGAUGGAUGAAAAGUUCAUGAGUGUAGCACUUAUAACAUUUGUCAGAUCAGAUCGCUCAACCUUAUGGAAAGAUAAUCUAUCUAUGUAUAUGUCUUUUUUUUAUAUCUCUCAAUGAUUGAAUGUGUAACAUUUUAGCUCAUAUGAUUAGGAGUGUGGGAUCAUGGAGGUAGUACUAAGAACAAGGAUUAAAGGACUAAACAUGUUGAAUCAGUUGGGUUGGUUAAUCUAGAGUUGUAAAUCAUACAUGUUUGUCUCUUUUAUUUAUAUGAACGCCAGAACCAAGGAGAAGCUUAUAAAAGUGGUAGUUAACUACCUUAAGAUGUUACCUUGCUUGAAGAGUGAUGGUACAGUAUCACCUUGUGGAAGCUUUCCUUUCUUAGUGAUUGUGCAUCGUGUUUGUGGCACCCUCCAUGGAUCAUCUCUCUAUGAUGAAUGAGCUAUGUCCUUCUUGUGCAAAUUGUUAAACUUCGUGUGUCACUCUCUUCGUCUCUGAUGUGAGUUUAUCACAGGACUUCCCAAAUUGAUAUUGAAAGUUUUUCUGCAGGGGUUAGUCCGACAAAAAUAUACCAAUGUCUACACAAGCAGUUUUUAGUUCAAUAACCGAACUAGACUCCAUGUCUAAUCAGAUUAAGGAAGGCUGUUUAACCUAAGCACCAUGCUUAAUUUAAAAGCCAAUAGAAGUAUGUGUAGUACUUCCAAACUAACACUUACUAGUAAAUAGACAAAUGUAGCAUGACAGCAUUUAUAGAGAUCUACUCAAGUGGAGAUGAAGUAGUGUGAUUAGUAUUUAACAAAUUGAGCAUGUCUUAAAGGUAGGGACAACCAACAUAGCAACAUGGCAAAGGAUGUUUUUAUGUAAAGUACUCCCCCAAGCUUGAAUUUUGCAGAAUUCAAGUUUGGAUGAAUUUAAUUCAAUGUUGUAUGAUGAUUGGUUGGACAUACCUUGUGCUUGUCAUUCAUCCGAUCUUCUUGCUCCAAUCCUGUAAAGGUUAGUGACAAGAAUACCUGAAGGAAUAUUUUUACAAUUAUCCUUAUAUGCUCAAUACACAAGGUAAUGUUGCAAAUAAUUAAAAACUCAUGUUACGAUCUGAUCAGUGCUUAUUUUAGGAUACUAAGCUUGUCCUUGGGAAACGAUCAAUUUAUGUUGGCGAAGUUGUUUCCCUUCCAACGCUGACCUAAAUCAAGAUCAACUCAACGAGAUCUGCAAUAUUUAUUAUAGACGUAUGUAUCGACAACCGCCCUUUUAAAGUUUUUAUAAAUAGAAAGGAAGAGGGGGUUAGAGAUCUCAAAUGUGGUGAUGUUGGAGAGACCAAUAUAUUGGGAAGAUGUUGCAUAUGAGCAUGGAGUAAACAAAGUGGCUAUGAAAUAAAUUCCAUGCUCAUUAAUGUUAUCUUCGUCUCCAAUCUGAAUGUUCAGAGUUCCUCUUGGAUUGGUCUCACUUAUGUCCUCUUCUAUAGUUGGAUGAAUCCCAUCUUCAAAGGGAGUUAAGAAUCCAUUAAGGCUUCUUCCUUAUCCAUCCAUUCUACACAUUCUAGCCAUUUAGAACUUGUGAUCAGGAAAGGGGAGGUGUUAGAAUUUUCAAUAUGGCUUAGCUCUCCUUUACUUGAUGUGUCAUCCUCAACUUCUUCAUAACAGGAACCAGGACAUUCUCUAAGAGAACCAUUAUUGCGUGGAUUUGAAUUAUCCCUGCUUGAAGGUAUCUUAUGGAACCAGAAGUCUAAACCAUCAGCAUCUGAAAGAUUUAAGGUCGGAAUUCCUUCCUCCCUUGGAGAAUUUUGGGGUUUUGAUGGUUUAGGAUCGAUAGCUAAAGUUUGGAAUUGAAGUGGUUGUGAUAUGGCUAUCGAAACUUCUUCUUCUUGUCUAGGAACUGGUUCUGUCUCUUUCUCAGGGAUAUAAAAGCUAGGAGACUUUCCACUUAAUAAAUCAAUCAAAUUCCAAGCUUCACUAGCAGGUAGGUGAUAGAAGGAUCCUCUAGAGGCUGUAUUCAAGGUUUGCUUAUUUUCCCUACUAAGGCCCUCAAAAAAGUGAAUUAGAAUAACUUCUUCUGGAAUAGAAAGCUUUGGGCCAGUGAGAGUAAGGUUAAUAAAGCGGUCCCAUGAUUUCCUAAGAGAUUCUUCUUCCAGUUGUCUAAAAGAAAUAAUCUCACGCCGAAGUUCCGCCACUUUGGAGAUUGGGAAAUAUUUAAGAAGAAAACUACUAUAUAACUCCUUCCAAUCUCCAUGAACACUCCCUAUUUUGAGUUUGUACCAAUGUCUAGCUUUUCCCGUUAAAGAGAACGGAAAGAGCUUCCAUUAAAGGGUCUCAUCGGUCAUUCCUUCUAUGUGAAGGAGGUCACAGACUCGAUAAAACUCUCUUAGGUGUGUGUAUGGGUUUUCCUCACCUUUUCCUGAGAAAGGUUGUGUUUGAACAAAUUCUAUGUAUUCGGGCUCUAUCUCAAAACUAUAUGCUAUGAUAGGCUUUGAAGAUUUUGGUGGUUCGAGAUGUGUGCCCGUAGGUCUAUGAAAUUCAUAGAUAGACAUGUUUGAAUUCAUGAUAGACCAGAGAUCAAGGAUUAGAUAAUAAGAAAGAUUAGCAGAGAUGAGGCAAAGGAUAAAAGGAAACUAUUUUUUUUAGAAAAUGAUUAAGCUAGUUCAUAGUCAACUCAGCAACCGUUUCCCCGGCAACGGCGCCAAAAAUGCUUGUUGACACUUGCUAACACCACUUGAAUACUAGGUUGUCAUCCCCAGCAUGGCACUAGGGUGUACUAUAGUAUUUAUACGCACACAGAUAAUCCGCAAGCGCACGGAUACCGUUGAAGCUUUUACCCGGUUAAAGGUUUUACGUAUCCACAGGGAAACGGGAGAACCAACUAUGCUCUAACUUAACCAAGAUAGAUAGAUAGGUGUAAAUAGGAAAGAUGAUAGAAUUGAAUAAGAACAAUAUUAAAGGUAAGAUAACAAUAGGUGGUAAUAUGGGAAUAGAAAGUAGAGCAAUUCUAGUAUAUGGGCGAUGGUAGCAGAAUAGAGAGAAUAACUAUGGUUUCUCUACUUCAAAGGGGUAUGUCUAUGUCUGGGACGAACCACGUGAUAAGAGUACACCACAAAGGAUGCUUAUCCUUAGGCCGAUAAACCCUACCCGUCCUGCUAACGAGAGGUGGACUACAGAGGACCAACGUAACUGUCACCUACGCGGCCUACCACACGAUCCAGCUAGACAGGGGAUAUCCACAAGUAAUCUAGGUCUAAGCACCACGCUUACACCUAUACUACAACUCUCACCUAUAGCGUCCUAUAGAUUAAAGUACUCAAAAUAGUUGUGAACCAGAACAUACAUGAUUAGUAAUUGCAUAAUGAAUUAGAAAUAGAUUACCAGAGUCAUCCCAUGAGCAAGCUUGAUUAGAGCUUGAUCAUGACGAAGUACAACCGGAGGAAGAACCGACAGGCCUGCCUCUCCUCUAAUCCUCCUUCGCUCUCCAUCUUGCUACUAUCUGGAUCUACUCUAGUUUAGAGAAGAGAGGAGAGCUCUCAUCUCUAAACCCUAGCUUUUGCUCUGUCUAUGAAUAAUGAAUAAUGAUCAAGGGGUGCCUCCUCAAGGGGCCAGGGGGUCUGGUUAUAUAGUCCCCUCAAGUGAACCUGGGCCGUCGGAUCAAACCGACAUUGAUUGAACGGUUAUUCUUGAUCCUUUAUGUCGGUGGUGAUCUCCCGAGAGAAAGAGUCCUGAUUGGGCUCCAAGUCAGGGCAGGAGGGCAGGCGCCCUGCCUCUGGCCCCGUUCGGCCUCUGCUUCCUUCCCGUGGCUUCUGGAGUCUUCUAGAUGUAAGAUAAUUGCGCGGCACGUUAAUAUCUCUAUGUAAUCCCGACGUGUGGGCCUUUCUUCCGUAUUACCUAAUAACCCCCUGCAGAAAUAGACAAACACCAAAACUCAUGGAAUUCUGUCAUAUAAAACCCUAAGUCUAGAUGUUGAUUUCAUUUAGAUCCUUUUCUUUGAUUAUUUGAUAAUUAAAUUUGAUACUUAAGGACCGUCAACAGAAAUAAAAAGGGGCAAGUGCCCGGAACCUCAAAAGAAAAGAAAAAGUGAGACGAGAGGUAGAAAUGGACAAGUGUCCGACAGUAGAAUUAGGGGUACAAGAUACCUGUAACAGAACCGCCCAAUUUACAAGAGAUCAACUAUGAAAAACUCCCGCCAAAGCAGUUGCUUUAACAUAAUCGAACUCUCAUAAACCUGGUAGUCCGUGAAAUCACGAGGGAUUUCAAACCAACCAUCAUACAAGCCAAGAUCAUAGUGAUUCAACAUAACAAGUCACAUGUUACACCCAUUUCACAAGUAGUUUGAUAUACAUCGGAGUUCGAUAUAGUUCUUACAACUUGAGUUGAAAAGUAGCAAAAGCAAAGUAAUUUGAAACUAAUAUUGCCCUCAUUUCAAAUACAUGCUAGUAUCUAGGUCAACUCCAACAAAAGCAACAUAGAUGAGGUAACUAAGAAGGAUCAUGCCCAUGAUCUUACUCCUCUAAUAUGGUAGGAGUCAUCCAACUCUUGCAGUAGCCAGGAUACAUCACAACCUGCAACAAGUGGGAAUAAACCCUGAGUACGAGAAAGGUACUGAGCUAGACAUACCCGUCAUAAACCAGAAAUAAUAUGACACUAAGGAGUAUGCAAGGCUUUAUUGGUGGGGCUAGCUUCACAACACAUAUUGCAUAAAAAGCUUAGGUUACAGGUAAGUAACUUUUUAGGUAUCUAGCUCAAGUUAAUAAUCAUUACCUGUAAUCUAUAUUAGCACCUGUACUAGAGCAAUCACUUGAUUAAGAUACAACAGUAGUACCCAUAUUCGAUGUGGCAUUUCCAACAUCAUCAUCAUACCAUAACCAUCCAAGUGUUCCAUAAACAUUACUACGAGGACGGGGCUAAAGACAAGUGCUCACUAUCCAGGAGCGAUGGCGAUUUGAAUCGAUUUCUAACCAGCUGGCGAGUUUAUUCCCCACACAAACCACACUCACCGGCCAAAGUGAGCUACAGGUCACCAUAUUGCACUAUCCAGGACCAAUUCGCGGGUUCGACAGGCACCGCCCGUACCCGAGGACCGUUCCGGUGACCGAGGUAUCCAAGGUAUACCAAGGUUGCACGCCGCGCCCUCGUCGUUCUCCUCAACCAUCACCAAUACAGCGCGUCGGAACGACUUAUCCUUCCAGCUACGUGUGGGGCAUGCGUUCAACAUGACAAGAGGGCCGUCAACGAUCGGUCCUUAAUCGACACAGGCGGGGAUAGAUAGGCACCCAAGACCUCCAUGUCUUGUUACUUCUCUAUCAUCGUCCUGCCCGGUCUCUAAUUAUUCAUCCUCAUCACUUGGUUAUUUCCAUGAUAGCAUAUAUAGCCAACCUUUUCAGGUGUCCAUCUAUCUCGCUCAGGUGACAGAACAUCACCUGGCUUCUACCGGUCUAAGCAUAGCUAAGCAUUUAUAUUCGAUCCUGAAUCUACAUAGGGUUAUAGGUAUAUUUGCUGGACAAGGAGUGUUAUAUGCAGCAAGGGUUUCACCCAACUCCUAUACUUAAUGCAACAAUACAUAUAUAACAUAUAUUCUCAAUUGCAUUCAAAAGUAGUAGGAGACUUAUAAUGCUCCGGGGCUUGCCUGGGAUCAACAAGGAGUCAGCUCAAUUAGUUGCUCUAUCUUGGUGACAUCUUAGGUCACAACACUUGCUUAGUCCUUCCACCUUCAGGAUGGGUCCACCCAACACCGUCUUCGGGUUUGUUCGCACACCAAGACCUUCACGUGAUUCAUCUAGCGCACCUAACCAAUUAUGUAGAGCAAACUUAUCAAUCAUGACACAAGUUUAACAAGUUUACAAUUGUAUUACUUAAUCACCGCUAAAGACAUGUAUCAUAGUUAGCACACACCAAGUAAAGCAAUUAAGCAUUCGUGUAUUUCAGCAAUUCUGGACAUACAUGCAACAACUCAGUAAAUAAAUCAUAACUGGGGUUACACAACUCCCAAAACUAUGCAAUAGGACAUUCUGGAAAGAGUAUCAAAUUAUCUACAAUUCAUCUUUAAUCAUGUUAGCAUGAUUAACAAGUUAACCAAGUCAAACAUGCAUGACCAUAUAAUCUGGUCCAUGAAUUUCCAGAGAACAAACAUUUUAAAUGAUGAAAUUCAUACUACCGUAACUCACAAACCACUUAGCCAAAUGAUAUGAAACUUUACCACAAUAUAUAUUAGUGAAUUAUCUACAUCUUUUCUAUAUACAAGUUUCACAGCAAACAUAAUUUAUAUCAUGGAAUUAAUUGCAUAAAUAAAACUGCUCAUGCUGCCAAACAGUAGAAGUACAAUUACAAACAGAAAACAGAUAGGUAAUUCAAGGAAGCAUAACUGGAGUUGUAGAACUCCAGCAAACAUGAUUCUUAUCUUUUUGGAAAGCUCAUAAAGUUUCCUGCAACUUUCUUAUUAUCAUAUAAAUAUGAAUCCACAGUUAACAAGGUCAAUUAACCACAUAAAGACAUCUCUGUCCAAAACAUGGACAGAAUCUGUCAUGCCCAAUUACACAGCUAUAACUUGAGUUUCACAUGUCUAUAAUUUAUGGUUGUGUACUUUCCAGAACGCUUAUGAAAUUGCGAACAACUUUGUUAUAAUCAUCUAGAGCUAAAUCUACCACUAACAAGGACUUACAUUACAAACAAUGCAAUUCUGUCUGGGUUUUAAACAGAAACUGUAACAGUAAUUCAAACCACUAUAACUAAACAUGUGCUUAACCAAAAAUUGUGCUAUUUAUCUUUUUGGAAAGCUUAUGAAAAGUACUAAAACUUAUAUAUUUUCUUCCAGGCAGGAUUCACAACUUAACUGAGCCAAACAAUACAAACAUGCAGAUCCACUGAGAAUAGGAGCAAAGCAACACAUGACAUUUGUUAUUUUUAUAACUCUUAAUCUAUCAUUCCUAAAAUCAUGAAACAACUACCAGACAUCAAGAAUCAUAUUAAACGCAUGUCACAAUAUUUUCACAUUUCUUUGAGUCAUAGUACAGCAGUUAUGAAAAAGACAAAUAUAACAAGCAGUUAAAACCUAACUGCAUAAAUCUAUUGGUACGACUAAAACUUCAAACUAAACCAUGCGAUAUUAUAGAUCUACUGCAUAGAGAAUUUCACAAGGAUUCCAAAAAGUUCAUAUUUGCUAUUUUACGAUUUAUCUAUGAAUUACUAUGCAUUUCUAAUCUUCAUACAAGAAAUAUGCAAAAACAAAAGAUAAACGAAAACGACUUUGCAUCUGGAACCCUGAACUUUAUCUGAAUCAACCCGUCCUCCAGAGCACUAUUCAUAUGAGUCUUGACUUCACAACUGGACCCCUCACAUUUAACGAAUUUGAGCCCGAGGUCCCUGGUCGCGAACAGAACAGGGGAGAUUCGCCGGAGCUUCCUGUUCUGGCCCGUCGGAGCCUCGUCGGCGGCGAUGGAGGGGUGGGGAAGCAUCAGGGCAAUGAGCCGCACCCGUAGGUGGCCACGGCUCGGCCAAAGGUGGCCUGUGGCGGUACGGCCACGCACGCACACCGACGGCGGCGGCGGCGGCAUGCCGGCGACCACGGCGACGGAUUCGGACGGCGAGCACGAGCACGAGAUGUAGGAUAUGGAGGCGAAGCUACUGACGGCGCUUGCAGAGAGUGAGGAGGUCCGGAGCAGUGAGAACGCGGCGGCAGGAGCUUCCACGGCGGCCAUGGCGACGGCGCGAGCAGUAGGGCGAGCACCGAGCGAAGGAGGAGCGAGCGAGGGCACAGAGUGAGAGCAGGGAGGAGUAGGGUGUGCAGCGCCCACUUCUGGAGGCGCAGCGAGCAGGGCAGCGCGUGGCAAUGGAGGUGGGGGCACCCAACUUACAUGGAGGACGUGUCGGCAUUUCGUCGAGCAUGUGGCGGGCAGUGAAGUGGCCGGCGUGGGAGGCGACUUUGGGCCUUUUCCGUGAUGAAUUGGACCUUGGGCCAAAAAUGAAGUUUGCUCAACCCGCCAUGCUCUACAACUUUGAUGAAAUGACCAUGCUCAUUAGACCAGCAAAUUAAGAGAUAAUUAGAUGCCAAGUUACGAGUGUCAACGUAUUGACGGUGAUUAGCAAAACUAAGAAUUGAUGGUCCAAACCAUGUCAAACAUGAUGCAAAUUUUUACAUGACCUUCUCGAAGUAAUUGUCCACCACUUUUAUUCUUGGACCAACUUUAGUUGCUUAACAAAAACACGAGAACGCGGCAUGCCAACGGGUCGAUGUCCGUUUAGCGAUAAAAUAACCUUUUGCUGUUUUGGGAGCUAUUUUAAGAUAUCCAAAUGAACUCCAAAUUUGAUGACUCUUGAUCCAUUGUUUUCACUAAGAAGAGUACUCCAACUCAUAUUAAGGAAUCGAAUUGAGUUACUAUAUGAAUUUUGAUAAUAAAAUGUCAUGAAAGACCUAACUCACUGCUGUCACUUUCAGGAACUUAGCCAAAAAUAUGGAAGUAGCAAAUCAGCACUGAAUUGAUUCUUGAGAGCUCAAUUUGAUUAGGAUAAAAACCGAACUAGCUCUUGAUCCUUAAACAUAGUUUGUUCUAUAGAAGCAAACAUACAACUUUCAUUUAGGGUCAAACCUCAUAACUGCAACAGAAGUCAAACUUUCACUUUAGUCAAAGCAGUAACCUGAUAAAGCUCCAAAUAGGGUUUUAGGCUAAUUGAAGCAUUUUCUUAGCAUAAGCUCAACAUGAACCCUUCAUGACUUUUGUUGUAUAAUUCAUCUAGAGUCAUAUGUGUAAGUUUGCAAGGGUUGGUUGAUGACCCAUUAUGCUAUUUCCUUAAUAGAGCUAUUCCGACAAGGAUAUAACUUAUCAUUUCAUGUGACUUCUUGAUUCCAAACUUCACCAAACUUUUCCAGAGACCAACAUAGAUUGGGAUGGAUAUGAGACACAUGGAAAAUGUUCCACUAGCAUCAUCCAAGCCUAAUUUUUAAAAGGGGCCUAUAUGUAAGUUAAGGUGCAUCAUCCAAGUCCAAGUUAGCGCUUACUUUCAUAAGUUGACUUUGACCUUUUUAUUACCAUUGAACUUGUCAUGUUUGAGCUCAAACCUAGUACUUAGCAAGUGAAAAACACCUGGGGUAUUACAAUACCCACCUGAGAGAAAAGAAAAAGAAAAUAUAGAGCAUCUCAUUCUCCUCAAAAAGCUUCAAAGUGCAAGAAAGGUAUGUUUCCCCUAAUUAAAAGAGCAAAAUAGAAUUAGACUUUCACCACUACUAUCACUAUCAUCACCAUACACCAUUCACUAGCCACACAUGCACAUCUUGAUUUGACUUAUUGACUUGUUUCUCUAGAUCCAUGGUUUGACUAUGCAAUAAAUAUCUUGUAAAUAUGUAUUAGCUGUCUCCCACAACUACUAGACACCUGUUAAUCAAUGACAUUCACUAGUGACAAUUGUAUAUUUCGUCACAGAAUGAGAGUAUGCUAUGACGAAAUAUGUAGAUUCGUCAUUAGUCACUAGUGACCGAGCUUAGGCACAAAAGAUAAUGACGAAAACAAAAUAAUCGUCAUACAACAGCAACACUAAAUCAUCAUUGAUUGUCUGCUUCCAGUACCACCUCGAGAACACUGCGCCGUGGUCCCACAUUAACGACCUGGCGCUACGGGCCCACGAUGGCGGGUCCCACCUUAACGACGUGCGGACAGACACGUGGCGCUACAGGCCCACGAUGGCGGGUCCCACCUUAACGACAUGGCGGUGGGUCCCACUGUCAGGACGUGGCUGUUGACAUGUGGCACUGCGGGCCCACGGUGGGGGCCCUAGAAUGACGACAUGGCGGUGGGUCUCAACAUAGUGCCAUGGUGGCGGUGGGUCUCAACAUAGUGCCAUGGUGGGUGACACUCACGCUACGGGCCCAUGGACACAACGUGCAAGUCCAGGAUUCACCCUUGCUCUCAUUUUUUGCAAAAAUAUUACCCCCGCACGGGAGAGUUUGCCCUUCGAACUCGCGACCUGCUGCUAGGAAGGAAAGAGGUGCUACCACUGGAACUCUUGAGCUUUUGUGUCUAUUGCAUGUCUGGGUGUGUAUAUGUACUGAGAACAUGAUUUGUCUUGAUUUUUAUAGCACAUAUCGAUCGAGUUGGGCCCUGCCCACUUCAUCGCGUAUACGUGCGGUGGCUGCUCUCGUAGGCGUUCGUGGCGGCUGCUUUCGUAGAGUCGUGGCCCCUAAACCGUGUGGAGGCAUCCAGGGGCUUCACGACGUCGAGCAGCAGGUGAUCGGCGCCGUCAGAGUUGCGCGGGGGCGGGAAGCACAACAGUAUCAACGUUGACAAGCGUGUGGGGCGGGCAGAGCACCUCUUGGCGUGCAGUGGCGUGCGUGCGACAGAGCACCAGCGCCGGCGAUCGUCGGCAAUCAGAGUGCGUGCCUACAUAUAUAUGCAUGUGUGUGAUUUCUUUUGAAUUUUUAUAAAUACAUGCAUGUGUGUGAUUUGUUUUUUAAUUUUAUUGUCGUGUAUAUAUGCAGGGCAUGCACAGUUACAUUGGGUAGCAGCGACACACUUGGGAGAGAACUGACAAGGUUUGAUUAUUUUUUAAAAUUUUUAAAUAUAAUAUGCAUAGUACAAGGUUUGAAUUGUUUUUUGUUGAAUUUACUCUCAUUUGAUUUUUACAAACUGUAUUGUCGAAACAGAUGGAUAGAAGGUGGGUUUAUGGGAUACAAUUCACAACUGCAUAUAAGAAAGGAGUUGAAGAGUUCAUGGAAUUUGUUAGCGAAAGAUACCCCAAAGACAGCCAUAUACUUUGUCCAUGCCGCAAAUGUCUUAAUCAAAGUAUGCUGCCUCAGGAUGAUGUUAGUGACCAUAUACACAUUUAUGGAAUGUCAGCUACAUACACGAGGUGGAUUCACCACGGGGAGUCGGAAGAUGCUGCAGUAGUUGAGAAUGUAGAGUAGGAGGUUGAAGGGAGUGAUCAUGACUUUGGGAUUAAUGUGGAUGUGCCUGAUGAUGAUUAUGAUGAGGAUCACGGAGUACCAGAGUUAAUAGGAGAUCUUUAUGCUGCGGCAGAGGCUGAUGGGGAACAACCAAGGUUUGCAAGAGUCCGAAGUCACUUAGCCCGGGUUCUAGCCAUUCAAAAUUUUCUUUUGUGGUGAGGAUGUUGUAUAUCAAGUCUCGUUAUCGAAUCGGCAAUACAGCAUUUUCCACAAUGAUGAAGUUGUUGUCAUCUGGAUUCCCUCAGAAUGAGUUGCCAAAAUCAUAUGAUGAGGCCAAGAAAUAUCUUGGAGAACUGGGGCUUGCUUUGAAAACAUCCAUGUGUGCAAGAAUAAUUGUGUAUUGUUUCGAAAGAGAUAUGAAAAAGUUAAUGUGUGUCCAGUAUGCAAGACGUCUAGAUGGCAAGAUGAAACAAUGACCAAGCGAGUUCCACACAAGGUAUUGAGGCAUUUUCCUCUUUUACCAAGGUUGAAAAGAAUUUUUGCAUCAAAGAAAACUUCUGAGGAAACACAAUGACACCAGAAAAUGAGGACGCCAGUCGACAAUGUAAUGAGCCAUCCGGCUGAAGGGCAAGCAUGGAAGGAGUUUGACAAGAGGGAACCGACAUUUGCAGCUGAUCCAAGGAACCUGAGGCUUGCCUUAGCUACUGACGGAUUCAAUCCAUUUGGCAACAUGAGUACCCAGUAUAGUAUGUGGCCAGUGCUUCUAACUCCACUGAAUCUCGCACCAUGGGAAUGCGUGAAUCUAGCAAACUGCUUUAUGGCUUUACUCAUCCCAGGUCCAAAAUCUCCAGGAAAGGAUUUUGAUUUGUUCCUUGAGCCCCUUAUUGAAGAACUGCUUGAACUAUGGGAGGGUGUUACCACAUUGGAUGCAUGUACUGGUCGGAAGUUUGACCUUCAUGCUGCCGUGCUAUGGUGUAUACAUGAUUUUCCAGCGUUGGGCACGUUAUCAGGGCGAACAACAAAAGGGUAUUAUGCAUGUAUUCAUUGUGACAGGGAUCCAUUAUAUCGGGCUAUAAGGAAUAAGCUAUGUUACAUUAGACAUCGUCGUUACCUUCCAAUGAAACAUAAACGGCGGAGAAGCUUAGCUUUCGAUGGUAAACAUGAAAAGAAAGAUCAGCCGAGCAAGUUCACUUUGGAGGAGGUAAUGGAGGAGCUAGAGAAGGUGAAAAAUGUCAGGCCAGGGAAGCAUCCGGAAAUUAUUGGAAAUAAAAGGAAGCGCAAUGAGGGUCCAAGGAUUUAUAGCCGCAAAGUUGGUUUGUGGAGAUUGCCAUAUUGGAAAGAUUUGAAGCUUCCACAUAAUCUUGAUGUGAUGCACAUAGAGAAAAACAUAUGUGGAAACAUUCUUGGCACAUUGCUCAAUGUGCAGGGGAAGACCAAGGACACAACCAAUGCCAGGCUAGAUUUGCAUGAUAUGGGCAUAAGACCUGAAUUGCACUUACAACAGGACGGCAACUCAGUUACUUCUCCACACGCUCCGUAUGUGUUGGGGAAGGAUCAGAAAUUUGAGUUUUGUAAGUUUCUCAAAGGUAUCAAGUUUCCUGAUGGAUAUGCGGCUAACCUCGGAAGAUACAUAAGUGAAGAUGGUUCAAAGGUGGUUGGAAAGCUAAAAACACAUUCUUGCCACAUACUCCUGCAAAGAAUCAUACCUGCAGGCCUAAGAGGUCUGGUGAGGAAGGAUGUAUAUGAAGCAAUUGCAGAGCUUGGGACCUUCUUCUGGGAACUAUGCAGUAGUAAUCUAAGGAUAGAUAUUGUCAAACGACUGAAAGAAGAAAUUCCAUUGAUCCUAUGCAAACUUGAGAAAAUCAUUCCACCCGCCUUCUUUGAUGUCAUGGUGCACUUGGCUGUGCAUCUUCCUGAUGAGGCAUUGCUUAGAGGACCUGUUCAGUACGGAUGGAUGUACCCAAUAGAAAGGCGGCUAGGCACUUUGAAGAAUUUUGUAAGGAACAGGGCUAGGCCAGAAGGAUCCAUUGCAGAGGCAUAUAUGGCAAGUGACACCUUGACCUUUUGUUCUAGGUCCAUGGAGGAUAUUGAGACUAGAUUUAACCAGAAUGAUGGCAGUGGUGGGGAAAUGCCAUUGCCUGAUGACAUAUCUAUUUUUAAGCAUGGUGUUACUCUUGUUGGAUCUAAUAGGAUCCAAUGCAUUGAUGAUGUUGUCCUCAAUAAGUUAGUUUGGUAUGUUCUAAAUAAUUGUGAUGAAGUUGAGGAAUAUGUGGAGUAAGUAUCCUUUACUUUUUUGAGAUUUAGUUUAUGCUUUAAUUAUAAAUUUACAAAUUUAUCUUAUGCCUAACUUUUAACUGCAGCUUGUAUAGGGAAGAGCUACUGGUGCAAGGUGAUCGUGAUGUUGAUAGAAUGGUGGAACAAGGAUUUGCAAAGUGGUUCCAGUGUCAUGUAAGUCAGUACACAUUGUGUUACUAGGUUUAGUAAAUGCAUUAGUAUGGGAAUAUAAUUAUUUAAUUGCUUUUGUUGUAUCAGAUUGAGAACAAAUGCAAGGAGAAUCCAGAAUCGAUUAGCGAAGGACUGUGGGCACUGUCAUGUGGCCCAGAUCUACGAGUGAAGACUUGUGCAGCUUGCAAGGUUAAUGGAGUGCGUUAUAGCACUGUGGAUCGUGAGAAGUACCUAAUACACAAAAUAGCGGUGUAAUGACUGAAGGUUCACAUAAUGGGAGCUACAUAGAUUUUUAUGGUGUCCUUAAAGAGGUAAUUGAGUUGGAAUAUAACUCGAAUUUUCAAGUCCGUCGGACGGUGGUUCUGUUUCGAUGCGAUUGGUUCAACCAAGAUGGCAAGUCCAGUGGACCUCGAGAUGAUGGACAUUUCAAAGCCAUCAAUGUGUAGUCAUUAUGGUACAAGAGUGAUCCUUUUAUCUUAGCAACUCAAUCGAAAAAGGUUUUUUACCUACAAGACACAUCUUUAGGUAAAGAUUGGCGAGUUGUUCAGAAAUUUGAACAUAGAGAUAUUUUCGAUGUGGCUGAAAAAGAUGAGGCUAGUCAUGAUGUGCAUCAAGAUGAUUAUUGUUCUGAUACUGAGCAUGUAGUGGAAGCAGGUGAUGAUAAUGAGGUUAGGGACAAUAAUCAAGGUGGAGAAGCCACUAUAAUUCAAGGAAAUUUACAAGACCUUAUAAGAAGCAAGAAGCAACCUACUAUUCAUGAAGAUAGUGAGGAUGAGGAGGAAGAUGAUACAUUACUACAAUGCUGUAGUGAUGAUGACAAUGAUAACAAUGAUGACAUGUUCCUAGACGAUGAAGAUGAUGAUUCAUAGAAUGGGCUAGUGAGAUGUCCCUACACUGCAAUACUGUUUCGGUUUUCCUAGAAUUUUGAGUCAAAAAAUUGUUUUGCUGCUUUCUAUAUUUUUCAUUUAUUUUUCAUACAUUUUAGGUUACCCCAAACAUUUACUGCAGUACUAUUUUGGUUUUCCCAGAAAUUUUUGUCGAAAUUCUUAUGCUGUGCUUCACAGCUCAAUUCUAUGAUGGUUACCCCAAACAUUUACUGCAGUACUAUUUUGGUUUUCCCAAAAAUUCUUAUCGAAAUUCUUAUGUUGUGCAUCAUGACUCAGUUGUAUGCUUGAAGGUUACCCCAAACAUUUAGUGCAAUACUGUGAAAUUCUAGAAUUGUAUGCUUGAAGGAUGCAAUUAAUAGUGACAUGUACACAAGCUGAACAGUAGCUGCCUCAAGGGUGAAAUAUAUAAGCUGAACAAUAAUUCCUCUUGUUCUUCCACUUUUUUGACAACAAACAACUAUAUUACUAGCAGCAAGCUACUGCUAGAAUUGAUACAUUGUUGAGGCUUACAUUUCGUAUAGCCUGGAGAACAUUACAUGGCUUCUCAUGAGUCAUUACAACACACUGUACAAAUCCUUUCAUUUGCUAAUAAGCACCACCACACCUAAAUUCACAGUUACAUAUGACUUAGAAGUCAGUACAACACAGCUCCACCAACAGCUGCAGCAGUAACAAGUGAGAGGAGUUCCUACAGAUUAGCUGCAGCUAGCCGAGUUGAUGAAGCCAUCUGGAUCUUGAGGCCCUUGCCAUGACAGGCGACGGCAACUUUACGACAUCAGAAAUGCUUAGAUCCUACAUUUACAAAUUGUUGAUACCUGAUUGUCAAUUGGCUCUAUCACAUAUACAGUACAAUAAGAAAGGCCAUUACAUCAUGGAGUGUGCAUGUGCACCAUUCUCUGAUCCUGAACAAAAUGCACUCAGACAACUGCUGACUAGCUACAAAGAAAAAAAUGUGCACCAUUCUCUGACCCUAGACAGUUAAUCUUUUACAGUGAAAAAUACGGUCAAACAAGCUGCACCUAGAAGGCCAGAAGUAUCCUUGCUCCAUUGAUGUCGAAAUGGCAAAAAGGUUAAAAAAGAAUCAGAUAUGUUUAACAGUAACAGCAAGAAUAGCAUUGCUUCACAUGUGUGGAUAUGAGUCAAAAAAAUUACCAUUAUACAUGGCACGAUUAACAGUCAGCUGGCAAGCUACAUAGAAGAGGAAUUAUGGUCAAAAUCAUGACUAAUUUGUCCAAAACAAAUCAAUGCAACUUCACAGAUAAGUAAGAGAAAUGGGAAAUUGGGGGAUUGGGAUCUCUGGCAGCGUCGAGGGUCGGAGGUGGAGGCUUGGGAUGGGGCCGUGGCCUGGCGCGCUCGUCGGGGCGGCGAUGGAGACCUUGGCAUGGGGCCGCGACCUGGCGCGCUCAUCGGGGCAGCGGCGGAGGCCUUGGGCUGGGGCCACGGCCUGGCACGCUCGUCAGGGCGGCGGCGGAGGCCUUGGGAUGGGGCCACGGCCUAGCUUGGCAGCCGAUGUGCCCUCGCGAGAUCGUCGGGGCGCCGGCCUGGCGUGCACACCGAGGCGGCGUCGAGCCAGCACGAUGCGGCUGCGGCAGCAGGCUUGGAUGCAGCUUCAGAAAUCAGUACCCGUUCGUCAUCCACAUAAACAACAUAGGGGAUGCAUGAUUUGUUCUCGUAUAUCUAAAACAGGGCUCCCAAACUAACGAACGCACCUAAAUAGCGCAAUGGUAAGGCCUGCAGAGUUUGAGCCAAAGCUCUUGUGUUCGAACCAUACGGUGGGCACUUUUUUGGUGUUUUUUGAACUAUUUUUUGUUUAUUACUUUUCAAAUAAGUUUAAUAUUUCUUAAUGAUUUCAUUUAUUUAAUUUUUUUGAACCAAUCCACUUCUUAUUACAUUUUGGUGAUAUUAUUGUACUUCUUUGUUCAAUGACUACACAAUACUAAAUUUUAAAUCCUUUCAAUGAAACCUCAUUUUGGUGUAUAAUGAUGACUACAAAUAAGUGAAAAAGUGAGAUGUUAAUGACUGUAAGGGAUGUAUACGACCACACUGUCUACAUAAUAUGAAUCUUUUUAUGUCAUGAUCACACACCAAAUUAAGGUGUUCCCAUGAUCAUACACCAAAGUAACGUGUCCUUAUUAGUUUCAAGACUUUCCUACAUGAGUUAAUCUAUUCAACCUUGUAUCCUUAUUAGUUUUGCAACAAACUAGAGUGCCGCGGUGGUGCCCUACGCUUCGUGUUGGUACAAAAGAAAGUUAAAUAGGGAAAACGAUGAACAAUGAUGACCCGUAACACGCUAGAUGAACAAUGACAUAUCCGAAACCGCUAUGAAAGCCGAUAACCCGCUACGAUAACUGUUAACCCAAAUCCAGUUGCUACAAUAACAGGUUUACUUGAUGAACAGUGGUAUGUGAGGAGAAAGAUCUGCUACUGUUGAUCAAGAGUAGCUUAACCAAAAUUGAAGUUUUAUAUCGAUAUCUACAUUAAUAGAUACCAAAUGUUAAGAAAUUUUAAAAUAAAUGAGGCUGCUCAUUAAGGAAAAUUGUAUUAAUUAAAAAACUAGCUUUAUCUAAAAAACUAACUAAAAGUAUGGCAAAAACCAUGAUGAUACAUAAAUCACAAAAAUAGUUAAUACAAAAUAUGAUGUCAAAAAAUGGCCAUCAUAGCCUUUGAACCCACAACCUCGAGAUCAAACUGAAAGAGCCUUGCCAUUGUGCCAUUCUAGUGUGUUUGCCAGUACUGGAGCAAAAGUUUACUUGAACGGGUACCACAAGGUACUGCAACCUUUGGCAGGCGUGGCAAAAAGUUGCAUCCUAAAAAAAUUUCCGCCAAAAAUUUUGGAAGGAUAACGCUUCACGUAUCCAUUUCCCCCACUCCCUCCUCACCCCGCGGCCACUACUCCUCUCUCCCCCCACCUUUCUAGAACCCUAGCCGAUAUCGAUGACCUGCAUCCUCGCCCCCCGAGCUGCGUCCUCGCCGAGCUCAAUCGCCACAUCUCCCUGUCUCUCAUCACCGAGGAGUGGAUCACCUGCAUCCUUACCUUCUUCCUCGUUGUCGCCCGCCGCUGACGGGCACUAGAUCUGCAUCGCCGUUUUCUUCCAUGUUGACGACCGCCGCCGACGGGCUCUUGGCCGACGACCAAUGGUGGCAACAAGGGGACAAGGUAGGAACAGACCUGCAGAACAAGAACAAGGUAAGCCGAAUCCUUCACCUCGACUCCUAAUAGUUCAAUUUUGUUGCUAGUACCCACUGCUCUGUGAACAAUUUGGGUAGUACCAUUGAAUUUAGGACAGAUGGUCUUGCUGAUGUGCUUUAGGGUUUGUUUGCCCCCUUCAGUCUUGGUACUUCAGUUUUUCAAAAAAAUUGUGUAAGCACAGACAUUGAGUUGAACCUGUAAUCACGCAAAGAAACCUCACUUGCCCCUAAUUUUUGGAUAUGUAGACAUGUAGUUUAAAGUAUUAAAUUGGAGUGUUUUGCGGACCCUGGAUUGGUCAUUUAGUUAUUCAAGAUAAGUAAACCUCAUGUUCCUAUGAAUUCCUUCUGCUUGUCUGUGAAGCAAGGUACUUGCGGUGGUAGAAAUUUAGUCAACCAUAGAGCAUUACAUAUAUAUUUCUGAGUUGAGUUUAGUAUUUGAAAUGGAAUUUUUUUGGUCGUUGCUUUCUUAGUCAAGUGAGCAUUAGAUAUAUACUAGAAAACCAGGCGCGGCUUCCGCGCAGACCUUCUAGCACCUGGCCAGUAUGACCUUUAGCUCUUGCUGAAUUUUACAUUUGCAUGCCCUCGUAGAUCAUGUAGAGUGAAAAGGUUAAAGUUAAUCUGAUAUAGGAAACUGUUAUUACCAUACGUACAUGCUAGUGCUGCUAUUACUUAAUAUAAAGAAGUUUUUUUAAGAGUAGGAACAUUAUAGAAAAAAGUUAUACUUAUUAAAUUUAUUGAACAUUAUCAGUGGAGGCGACAAUUUUGGUGCAAGAAUCGUAUUUGGAGAUUUCUGAGUUGAGUGUAACAUCUAGUUUUUUCAUAAUUUUAACCAACUAUUCUGUGGGUGUUUGUGUUCCACAAAAUUAAUGUUUCUGGGCAAGCUGGUUAUUGCCGAUGAUCUAAUUAUAAUUUGCUGAAAUUAAGCUGUUUAAGCUUUUUAAUAAAUGGCAAUGUUUGAACUCGCUGAGUUGGUCUACUAUUUCAUGGUGAAACCGAAUGUUUAGUCAAAAGAAUAUAAUAGAAUAGCUUCCUCCUUGGUACUUAACUGUUGUUAUUUUUUUAUGAUAUCUUUAUUCAGUGUACAGUGUCCCAUAGCUACCAACUUGACAAAGCUGAAGUAAGCUAUUCUGGAAAUGCCUUGUUGAAUACAAUACAAUAGAUAAUUCAUGAUAAUUGUUACUGAUGCACAAUUAGGAACUCAUUAGCUAAUGAAAACCCACCUGAAUCAGUAAGCCAACAACCAGUGCCAAAUUAGUUGCUUCAUGAUAUUAUUAGCUAGCUUCAAAAGUUUCAGUACAACAAAACCUGUAGCUCUUACCUCUUACAUGUUGCUUAUUGCACUGAACUAUCUCUUUCCUCUUCAGGAGCCACUAGUAGCUAGUAGCUCUAAUCUGUCCAGCAUCUACUUAUUAGUACCUAUUAGCUCUUAGAUCGGUCCUAUUUGUUUUCUAAUAGACACAUUUUCCUUGUUCUUGUAAGAACCUGCAAAAACUGACUAUGAGAGAAGAAGGGAUUCUCACGUGGCCGCAGUUCAAAAGAAGAUGGAAGAUCUGGGACUCAAAAUAAUAGCUAUUGAUCUUAAAAAAUAUAUACCUCAAUCUGCAUCAAACAAGGGGAAAAAAUCUGCAAACAAGAAAUCAAAUAGUGAAGAUUCGGAUUCAUCGGAGUAUCUCCUUGACGAUGAUGAUCAAGGAGAUAGUGAUGAUGAUGACACUGAAUCUGAUGAUCAGCCACAACCCUUGGCAACUACGGUGGACUCUCUCACUACACUACUUUCAAUUCUUCAAAUAACCAACAUUCAUUUGGUCAUCACUCUUAUUACUUGUUAGUCAAUGAGGUAAUACAAAUAGUGUUUUUCCCUCUACCUGUGGUUUAAAUUGCUGCCUACUAUUCCAUCUAUAGUGGUACUGUAAUUUUCUUAUAUACUGAUGUAUCAAUUGUCCAUUGUUUAUUUUCCUGUAUAUUCCGAUAAAUGGUUGUAUUGCACCAAUCAUGUAUGUUGCUGCAAUGCUUCCUGAGCUUGAAAUAUUUUUAUAAUUUUCCAUGUAUACUGUCAACUAUCAGGUAAAGUUUGUUUGAGACUUGUUUUUUUCCACAAUAUCCUCCAGGCUACACUUCUAGAGGCCAAGCUUCAAAGAGGAAGAAGACAGGUGACAACAUGGCUCCCGGAGUAAGGGCUAGUAAAAGAGUGAGGGCAUUUGAAGGAUUAGAGGUGUCACCAACACAAUCCCAAACAAGAUCAUCGAAAAGGCUUCAUUCCUUAGCAAGAGAUGGGUAGAAUGAAGAAGAAAUACCCCAAAGCUCUUUUACAGCAGCAGAAUCAGGCAAUGGAGUUGGUGUUAAUAACACUACUGCUGGAGAGGAAGAAAGUGGAGCUGCUGCUCAAGACACCACAUGUGGUGAUGAAGACAACAUAACUGCAGAGGAAGGCAAGUUAAAGUUUGGUUGUCAUAAAAAAAUAUCAUCUCUUUUGCUGAUUUUCAUGAAACUAAUGCAAAAUCUGUUUUGUAGGUCCGGCACAGCGAGCCCCAAGGAGGCCCAGGCCACCCACCAAGGGAACACAUCUAGAUAGGAUGACCAAAGCUAUGGGAAGGAGGAUGCCCAUAUCUAUUCAAGAAGGCAAAACAAGGCCUCAUGAACCUGUUCAAGCAGCCAAGUUUGCAUCUGAGGCUAGAGUACUGAUUCGGGAUCGGGUUCCUGUCCUAACUCAUUGGAAAGAAUACAAGAAGAACGAACAACAUUACAACAACUUUGUGAAAAAGCUAUCUUUAAGUGCAGUACUAUUUAAUUGGUUGACUUUCAUGUAUGCUUAACAUGAAUUGACUAACUAAUUAUGCAAUUGACUUAUUGCCUGAUUACUAGGGGCGGUUGUCCAUCAACUAUGAAGACAACGCAACAAAGGAAGCUUGCACCGAUAUGCUGCGCUCUGGGGUGCGACAGAUGCGAUAUCGGCUUAAGAAGAAAUAUUUCAUUGGUAUACCUGCAAAUGAGAUUAGGACAUCUUCUCCGAUUGCAAGCAUGACUGAUGAAAAGUGGAGGGCACUAGUGGCUAAGUGGUCUGAUCCAAAGAACAUGGUAUGGGUAUCUUCUCACUUUUACUUUCUCAUUCAGUUUCAAGUGAAAAAGUGAAUGAAGUGUGACAUGUCCAAUCCCUUGUAGGAAUCAUGUGAAAAGAACAAGAAGAAUCGCCGUAAAGUCAAGUAUCAUCAGGCAACGGGUUCUCGCAGCUAUGUGGCACACUUGCAUGCAUAUGUGAGUAAAGAAAACUUUGUACAUAAUUGUAGUGAACAAGUUAUUUUGCAUUUCAUCUCACAAAACUUUGCUGGACUUGAUUGUCUACCAAUAGAAGCAGAAUAGAAAUAAUGCUAAACCUAGCUCAGAACAAAUUGAUGAAUUUGAUGCGAUGGAGGCCUUCAAGAGCUGCCAUACCAGCUCAAAAAAUGGACUGAGUGAACCAGCAAGAGAAGCUGUUGUAAGUCCACAAAUCUAUUAAACUAUGCCAUUUUGUCAUUAAUUGGAUAAUAUGUACCGAGACACACUUGGGAAUACAAUAAAUGUUCUCUUCUAUUUGCAUUCGGUUACCUGACAAUAAAUAAUCAUACUACAAGGGUAAAAGUAAGGUGCCUGAGUCUUGUGUUCCACUAAACAUUGAUGUUUGAUAAAUAAAUUAUAAGCAUAGAAAAAAGGGGGAAUACAUACAUGGAAGGUAGGACCUAUUUGUAACACCCCAGUGUUAUGGUUGCAUUGAUCAUGUGCAUAGCAUGAGCAUCAUCAUUUACUUAAAGCAUAUCAUGAUCAUCAUCUAUCUUGAGCCAUGUCAUUUUAUGCAAAAAUGUGGUUUAAAUUGCUUAAAUAGUCUUCCUAUGCUUAUGAUUGAGUGAACCAUGCUUCUGUUUGUGCUCAAUGCCUUGGUAAUUAGUUUAUCUAUGCUUAACUUGACUUUGGGAACAAUGUUCAUGUUGGUCACUUCUCCAAAAUAUGCUUUUAAGUCAUACUUAUGAAAAUAGGCCUUAGAAACCUCUUUUGCUUAGGCUUUUAAAAAGUGUUUCAUAAAAUGUUUGCAAGUCAAAACUUUCUAGAGCAAAGUUGUAUCAAAUUUUAUAAGGAACAAAAGUCCUUUUAUGGUCAUCUCAUGAAAAUGAUCACAAAUAGCUCAAAUUUGACCCACAAGGCAAAUUUGGGGUUGUUUCCAACACUUAGAAAAUUUUCUAAGUCUGGAAUCACUGCAGUUUGCUCGAGGGGGUAUUGUUCAUCCUCCAGUUUGAAUUCUAGGCCGAAUCGAGCUUUGAUCUUGUAAGAAAUGUUGGAGUACUCAUGUAGCUCUCCAGCAUAGAGCAAUUAGCCAGCAAAAUCAUCGAGUGGUUAGGGAGUUAAUCGUCGGGCAAAAUCGCGUUUCAGUCGGUUUGGGAACCGAAUGGAGCCGCCGUCAGACAGGGGGAGCUCGCCGGUGAUGCCGCGUGUCUGGACCCGUGGCGUCCAUACGUCGCUGUUGGCCCCUCUCGUCAGUCCUCCGCUCGUCCUACGGCUCGCCACGGCGUCCCCGGUCGCGUGGACAGCGCCAUUCCACUCCCGGUUCCCUCCCUCUCGCGUGCGUCGUCGUCUCCGCGUCGCCACCGUGGUUUCGGCAAGCUCGCGUGCGCAUGUCUCCGUGUCUCCGGCCAAGCAACUCCGCCCAGCGUUCCGCCAGCCUCUCCACUUCACCGUCGUCGAGUUGGCUGCGACUGCCGAGCUUCGGUGAGCCCGCAUUGCCUUCUCCGUCGCGAGCUUACCUCGCCGGAGCUCUGCCAUGGCCACCGGCGUCGUGGCCAGGGCUCUGUAGUCCACCAUUCUUCCUCAUUCUUGUCCCAAAAGCUCCGCUAGGUCUUGCUGUUGCUCGUCCGCAUUCUCUUCUGCUCUGUCUCCGGCCAGAGACACCGGCGGUCGGCCGCGCACCACCGCCGUGCCGCCAUUUGCGAGGGCAAGGUACCUAGAGGUCGGUAGAGUUAGGGUUUUGGGUACCGCUAGAUGCGGAAUGCAGUGGGGAGCACGAUGGUGCCCUUGGCCAGCGCUGGGACCUCGCCGUCGACGAGAUCUCCGGCGGUCAAGCCGCGCCUCUGCUUCCGGGUCGCUGGCAGGUGGGGUCCCUUGACUCGCGGGUCCCCUCUGUCAGUCUCUCUUUCUCCUUUGUUUAAACUAGGGUUUGAGCUGUUUUUGCAAAAAUCAUAUCUCUAGUUCUAGUGAUCCAAAAAUGUUGAAAAAAAUUUUGUGGUAUUCCUUGAGAUGGCUAGUUUUUAAUAAAAAUAUAAAAUGAACCAUGUUUUCUAGGAAAUUAUUUAUUAAGGAUUUAAUCUUGUUAUUCAUGGAUAAAUGCAUAUCUCUUGUUAUACUGCUUAGUUUGCUCUGACAAUUUUAUGGUAGCCUCUGUAUGGUAUUAGAAUGCUUUGAUAAAUAUUUCAUGAUUUUUAGAGCACUGCAGUUGUGAUAUGUAAAUUGUGAUUGAAAUGUGGCUUGUUUCUUUAAUUAAAUCAUAUAAAAUAAUUGAUGCUUAUGCUGGUGUUCCACCUUGGUGGUAAACUUGUUUAUGGUAUUCCUAAUAUAGAAAUAAUCUGAAAUCUGUUGUUUGACAUCAUAUAAGUCAUGUUUUAGAAUUUAUGAAAUAAGUACCUUGGCACAUGUUAAAUACAUAUCUUUAAUUUAGUAUGUGCAAUUGCUCUGAAAUUUUUAUGGUGAUGUCUUGGUGCUAUACUUGUGCUUUUGUAAUUUUUGUAGAUUUUUCUGAGCACUUUGACUGUUAGCUUGUGAUUAUGUUCUUAUCUAGAAUUAAUUAAUAAAUGCCUUGUUAAGUAAAUGUUUGGGGGUUUCCAUCUGAUGUUCUGGUAACCUUGUAAUAUGUUUGUGCUCAUAAGCCAUGUGGUUGGCAUGGUUUAUGUUUUGGUCAUGUCAUUAAAUAAUUACUUAAAGGGGUUAAAGGCUGUUCUGGACAGCAAGGAAAGGAUUUAACUUUGCUUAAUGAUAACUUGACUUUCUGUGAAACUUGUCUAAAUCAAAGUUGUUCUAAACUUUUUGAACUAGCUGUGGUUUAAAUUUGAGGUCAUUUGGCCAAGUAGUUUAAAAGUUAUAGCUGUUCCAAGUUGGGUUCCAGGGAUAGGUGUUCUCUAUUUUUCUGGGACAGAACCUGGAACUUUGUUUAAAUGGCUAAUUUAAUCUUUGAAUCUUGUUGUCAUGUUUAAAGAUGAGUUGUGGACAAUUUCAUAAGCUUUCCAGAAUGGCUUCACUCAUGAUUGUUGGAUCUGUCUAUCAUUAGUUAUGAUUUAUUUACUGAGUGUACUUGUUUUGUGUUGUUUGCUGUUUUGGUAUCAUGAUAGGUUGUGGGCUGAGUUGACUUAAUUACUUUUGUGAGCUAGUAUCACUUUUGCUCCCUAAAUGAGUGUCCAGUGAGUUACUUAUGUUAUCAAGCAUUCAUCGUUAGCAUGCGCACCUUCUUAUUGUUCGAGCAUGCAAUAGGUGCAUCGGACGCGACAGCCUCCUGCGAGCUGCAAGUGAAUCCCGAAGGUCAGGAGGGCAGCCAAGCGGUGGAGGUCCAGCAAGCUGGACUCGAGGAGCUCGAAGAAGAAGUUGAGUGCCCGAAUCACGAGCCGGCAUCGUUCGUGAAAGACAAGCCCCGGAGCAUUCUAAGUCUCCCUCUAUUUUCGAAAGUUACUUAAUAUGUUAUAUCUAUUGAUGCAUUACGUGUAGGAGUUGUGAUGAAACUGUUGCUGCAUUCUACUCUAUCCUUGUCCAGAUAACUCACCACACCCUGGUUGUAGAGUUAGGAUCGAAUAGCAGCUUAGCCAUGCUUUAAUCGGUAGAAGUUGGGUGAUAUCCUGUCACCUGCGCGAUAUAGGGUUAUGUCGGAUCACGAUGGUCUAUAUGUGCUAUCGUGGAUGGAACCUGAUUAAAUUGACUUAAGCCGGGCGGAGUUUCGCAAGUUUGUAGUAACUCCGUCUGUUGCAGCUAAGGACCGAUCGUUGUACGUCCUCUUGUCAUGUUGAACGCAUGCUAACACUUAGUUGGCCAGAUAACUCGUUCCGACCGUGAAGCCGAGUAGUAUGACUCAGGCCGGAAGACCGGCAAGUAUAAAGUGCGCACUACGGGAGGAAUUGCGGUGUGCAGGGGACCAUUGGCGUAAGUCCAAAGGCAGGUGAGUUAAAAUUCCUGACCUCCCUGGCGGAGUGGUAGCCCUGGGAGUGCGGCGCUGAUCGGAGCCGCGAUUCCUGAGUUGUACCAAAGGUGACCCGUUGGCUCUCCGGCAGGGGAUGCUUGGGUGAGUGCUAGGAAUAACCCUCCAGCUGGAUAGGAAUCCGAUUCGAAUCGCCGUCUCUCCCGGUUAGUGAGAACUUGACAGAGCAGCGGCAAACGUAGCAUUCACUAAUGAAAUUGGUUCAUGAUAAUGAUGAUAGCAAGAAGAACAUAUGAUGAAUUUGAUAUGGUUAUUGUUGUUUGUAAUAAUCAAGUGAUGUGUUGUAGUACAGGUGCUAAUCUAGUGGUAGGCUGAUGAUAAAUAAAUAUGAUGCUCUCAAAAUAAUUUAGUUGUAAGUUAAGCUUAUGGCAAAAAGGUGAGUCACCCAGCUCCACUUGAUAUUUCGCCUUGCAUGAUCCUUGGUGUCUUUUAUGUUUUACUAGACGGGUAAGUCUAGCUGAGUACAUUCUCGUACUCAGGGUUUAUUCCCACCUGUUGCAGAUGACAUCUUUUAUGACGGAUUCUGCAAGACCUGUCUCCAUCCCGCUGGGGAUGAGGACUAACCGUUGGGCACGGUUAUCUAACAACCUCGUCUCUGAUGCUUUUGGAAGGAUGGCAUAGACUCUGGCAGUAACAGAAACUUGCGAACUGAACUUUGAACAAGUGUGUGUAACUAUUUUGCUUCCGCUACUUCGAACUUGGGUUGUAAUAACUUAAUGACUCCGAUGUGGUGCCGCUUCGACGGCAAUGAAUGACUAUGUAACAUUCGCUGUGUUUAUGUUGAACUAUUACGAUCUUGGUUUGUUCCGAGUUGGUUUGAAGUCCUUCUUGAUUUCAAUUGACUACCAGGAUUAUAUGGGCUCAAGUUUGGAAACUUGAUUGCUAGGCGAUCGUUUCUGCACUUGAACUCUUAUAAUUUGGUCGGUUCUGUGACACUAUUGAAGUAUUUCUAUUGCAUAAUUGAAGACAUGAGGCCUCUUAUCAUAAUUAGCAUGCUCUCCUGUACUAGUGUCAGCAACAUACGACAUGAUGCCUUGUAAUUAGGAGUUAUAACUUGCAGACACUCAUCAUAUUGGGUAGUGUCAUUUUUUUCUAUACCAAUCUGUAGCUGCCUACAAGUUUUAGUUGAUGCUUCGGCAAAACAGAGCCUAGUUUUAGUAAUAAGGUUAGGAAAUCUUCAGUUCAUGUAAUAAUAAGUACUUCUUGAUCAGAGGAAAAAACAUAUUUGCAGUUUCUGUGUCAUAAGGUUAUGAGGACAAAAUAUGCAGUUUCUGUGGCAUUAUUUUAUACUUGUUUGAUCAGAGAAAAUAGACGAAAAAAUAUGCAGUUGCUUUCUUAUGAAUGAACAUGGUAGUGUGAACUUAAAUUAUCAAAAAUGUCGUUGCCUGCUUUGUAUGUGCAUGUAUUUUGAUCAAAACUGGUGACAAUCCAAUAUAGCAAGACAUAGUUGCUAGGUAAUAAUCAUAUGCUUAUGACUUCUAUUUCCAUUCAGUUUGCUAAGAACAAAUAAAUGUCUCAUGGAUUCUAUACAUUUGUAGCAUCAACUAUCAAUGCAGUGUCCGAUAGAUUUUUAUUUUCAACAUUACAUAUUAUAUCAAAUUUGCCUCAUAUUAUUGCAAUAAGUAACAACUAAUUAUGGGUCUUUCCUGUUUUAGUCAAAUAUGGAAGCUUUGCGGGAACAACCUGUUGCUGAAGGUGAGACAACAGUAUCGAGUGUCCAGGUUGUGUCCCAAGUGCUCUCCCAGAACAGCUCAAACAUAUUCCUCAAGAGUGUUGGCAUCAAACAAGUCCCAUCCUCCAAAUCAUCAAGCAAUGAAAGCCAGCUGCGAGAAGAACUAGCAGCUGAGGCUACGGCUGCUGUACAAGGUGAACUUGAUGUUCUCAAGAAAAGAAGUGAAGAAGCUGAGGAGAAGCUUGCGAGGACACAACAGGAGUUGGAGGAGUACAAGAAGCUGACUGAGAAAAAUAGCAAGGCAAUGGAAGAGAACAAUGCGCUGCUCAAGCGUAUCUUGUCCCUCAACAAUGCUUCAAUAUGAGCGAUGCUCCUAGCUGCUAGAAGUAGGACUUAACAGAAACUUGUACCUGCUGCAUGCUGGUGCUUUUGUUAAUGCAAUGCCUUUUGUGGAUGGUGGUAACUUGAACCAAGUGUAGUACUGUUUUAAGUUUAGUACUGGUGAACUUUGUUUAUGUCUUGCUAGUAGUGUCAAGUGACUUGUGUGAUGUUCAGUACUGUUUAAGUUUUCUGGUUUGGAAUACUCGAUUUGUUAGCUUUUGAUGUCAAAUAUUAUUUUUUAUUUUCUAAUCAAAUCAGCAUGAGCAACUAUGCUGCUUAUUAGCAUUCUAUAAUUUAAUACUUAGUUCUAUGAUGAUUUCAAACCUCUAUUUGGUGACGAAAAUAUUUAGCAAUAACAGCUAGACACGUGGACUAAUCACAUGAUGCCACGUGUUGGGUCACGGCAGCAGCCACGUGUCCACACACGUCAGCAAACACGUGGUAGCCACGUCAGAUGCCAUGUGGCAGCCCACGUCAGGUGCCACUACAGCAUCCACGUGUCAGCCAUGUCAGCUGCCACGUGGCAGCCACAUCAGGUGCCACGCCAGGAACCACGUGGCAACCACGUCAGCUGCCAGCGUGGCAAAUGCCGUUUGGCAGCCUGACGGGAUGACGUACUAUGACGAAAACUAUACACAUCGAUGACGAAAACAAUACGUCAUAGAUUGAAUCCAGUUCUGUGACAAUAACAUGUUUCGUCAUAGAAUGAAUGCACAUCUAUGACGCAAAUGCCCAUUUCGUCACUGUAGACAAAAUGUGACGCACGUUCCAUGAAAAAAACCAUUUCGUGACAAAAACGUCACAAAAUGUUUUAUGUGACGCUUUUGGAAUCUUCAGUGACGAAAGAGUACCGUAAUUGUUGACCACAUCCCUACUAGUGCACCUAUGAGCUCUAGAUAUCAAAACCUUAUUAGAGUAGGGUGAGAGAGAAGGCAAUGUCACUAUGCCUUAUACCAAAAAUACCACAUACUUUGAGAGAAGGCAUAUACCAUUACUGCCUUGGAAAGGAUCCAGAAAUACCACAAAAGAGAGAUUUGAGAGAGUCAUACAAGGAAUCUCUCAGUUUUAUUUGAAAAUUUGCAAAAACUCCAAAGCUACAGCUGAUCAAAGAACAAGAGACAUGGCACUUGACUUGACCGUUCUAUCUUUUAACUGCUCAAGACACAAGUGACAGUUGCAAGCCCCAUGGUGAAAGGUAAAAUGAGUAAGUUUUAAGUCUUAUGAGUUUACUCUAAACUCAUAGAUGAGAUCUUGAACGCAUGUGUACUUUUAAGGCAUGAAACCGCUGCAAAAACUCUUGAGUCCAUCCUUGCUCAGGGACGUGCAAGAGGUAAGCUUGGGGGAGUUGUUGACGGUCCUUAAGUACCAAAUAUAAUCAUCAAUUAAAUAAGGAAAAGGAUCCGAAUGCAACCAACACCCAGACUUAGGGUUUUAUCUGACAGAAUUCCACGAGUUUUGGUGCUUGUCUAUUUCUGCAGGGGGUUAUCAGGAAAUAUGGAAGAAAGGCCCACACGUCGGGUUUACAUAGAUAUAUUAAUGUGCCAUGCACUUUUCUAUCAUCUAGAAGACUCCAGAAGCCACGGGAACGAACGGGAAGGCGAUCGGGCCCAGGGGCAGGGCGCCCGCCCUCCCCCCUUGGGCGCCCGCCCUGUUGCAGAGACCAAUCAGGUCCCGUCUCGCGGAUUACGCUCCACCGACCUAAAGGAUCAUGGAUAACCGUUCAAUCAAUGUCGGUUUGAUCCGACAUCCUAGAUUCACUUGAGGGGACUAUAUAAGCAGACCCCCUGGCCCCUGGAGGAGAACAAGUUCAUUAUAGAGUUGAGAGGUGCCCUCGAAGGAUAACCUUUCCUCUACAUAGACUUAGGGCUUAGCAUCCAAUGCGAGAGUAGACUAGUUCUACUAGAUUGAGAGAGAUAGAGUGGAGGUGUAGAUCGGAGGAAGCCCGGCCUGUCAGUGUCUACUCCGAGGUUGUACCUGCGGGAUCAAGUCUUCUAACCCGAGGCUUGCUCCUAGGAUUCUUCAGUAUUUCAACUUCUAAAUUCUAGUAAGUUCUUUGUUUUAUUGUUCCUUGGUUUAUGAGUUUACUUUGAUCUCUUUGCGUAGAGUUUAGAGUAAUCACCUCUAGCGUAAACGUCGUGUUUGGGCUAGGAUACUCAUAGAUAUCCCCUGACUAGCUGGAUCAUGGUAGUAGUGAGGAACGUGACAUUUCCGAGUUACCUUUGCAGCCCAUAUCCCGUUAGUAGGAUCGAUAGGGAUUAUAAGUGCGGGUUGAACAUCCUCUGUGGUGUCUAGAUUCCAUGAGCCUCCCUAACAGGACAGUAGAUCAUCCUUACCAAGGUUAGAACAAGAUUAUGAUUGUAGUCUUCUCUAUACAUCACUCACAUCGAGUCACAUUCUUUGUAGCCUAAAUGGUAGUAGCAAUAGAUUUGGUUAGUCAGAUGCACGCUUUCUCCCAGUGGUAAAAAUAUAAAUAGGAUACUCUGGAUAACCUCCCGGGUGAAGUGCUCACCGAUAUCCGUGCGCUUGCGGAUCAAUUCCUGAUGGCGUUACCAAAUAUCAACACUCGACCUGUUGUCAACGGUGAUUGGCGACAUAAACCUCUACGGGACGUCAACCCCCCGAUCAGCCAGGGCCAGACAGGUCGGCUAGGGAGUUGUCGGGAGCGUCGAUUGUGAGAGAUGGGCGGUUGAAAGGUCCUAAUAUGGCUAGAGGGGGGAUGAAUAGCCUAUAUAAAACUCCUACAAAAACACUAGAGCAAGAGGUUAGUAAAUAACAAAGCAAAGCUUUUUGCUCUAGCUCUAAUGGGGUGUUUGCAAGCCACCUACCCAACAAUUCUAGUUGCUAUGAUCACUAUGCACACAAGAACUAAGUCUCUACUUACACUAGAGAGCUACCUAAAGUUUCUAUACAAGAAGUAAGCUACUCUAGUUUGCAAAAAGUAAGAGAGAGAGUUUGAUCUUUAUACCACCACGUAGAGGGGAAGAACCAAUCACAAUAUUAUGAAGUCCAAUCAUCGGGAGAAAUCCAAUCAACAAACACAAUGGAGACACAAUAUUUUUCUCCCGAGGUUCACGUGCUUGCCGGCACGCUACGUCCCCGUUGUGUCGACCAACACUUGGUGGUUCGGUGGCUAAGAGGUGUAGCACGAACCUCGUCCUCACUAGGACACCAAAAGAACCCACCCACAAGUGAGGUCGCUCAAUGACACGAGCAAUCCACUAAUGUUGCCUUUGGCUCUCCGCCGAGGUAGGCACAAACCUCUCACAAUCACCGGGAGAUGGCCACGAACAAUCACCAACUUGUGCCAAUCCUCCUCCGCUGCUCCAAGCCGUACACCGGACGCUAAGCACUGGACUCUCUCCGGUGCGUCCAGUGCACUCUGCUGCACCCGACAGCACACCGGACGCUAAAGGCCAGCAUCCGGUGCCUCCGCGCAGAGCAUCCGGUGAGUGUUUCCUACUGAAAAACACUCCCGCGACUUCUCUGAAACUUUCACUGGCGCAAUAGAAAAUAUGCACUUCAUUUUCUCGAAAAGCACCGAAUCCCGCCGAGCAAGCUCGGCGGGAGGGAGAGAGGAACCCAUCCUCUCUCUAACCUUCAAACUCCACCUCCUUCUCAAAGUGUGCCAACACCACAAAGUGUGUACCAACAAGUGUACGUGUGUUAGCAUUUUCACAACCAUUUUCUUCAAAGGAGUUAAGUUAGCUAACUAGGUUCUAAAUGCAUGCACAAGAACAAUGACACCUAGUGGCACUUGAUAACAGCUUAGCCAAAGAAUUCCCCUCUUUAUAGUACGGCUAUCUAUCCUAAAUGUGAUCACACCCUUUAUGGUGUCUUGAUCACCAAAACCAAAACCCUAAGCAAUACCUUUGCCUUGAUCUCCAUAGGGUUUUGUUUUUCUCUUUCUUCUUUUCCAAGUUGAGCACUUGAUCAUCUUGUGGUCAUCACCACCAUCACCAUGAUCAUCACUUGCUCCAUCACUUGGCAUGUACCAACCUCAUUAAGUCUACACACACUUAGUAUGGAGGUUAGUACAAGGGUUUCAUCAAUUAUCCAAAACCAAACUAGGGCUUUCAAUCUCCCCCUUUUUGGUAAUUGAUGACAACCCCUUUUUACAAAGAUUUUCAAUAAAAUUUUCUUGGAUUCAUGUUGCUUGUCCAGGCAUUUUACCAUGUGCAAAGGUUAUGGACAAGUUUCAUAAACCCAAAUAGGUAGCAAUUGCUCCCCCUACAUAUGUGCUAAGAGUUUGGAUUUUAAAGCUUGCACAUAUGCUUGAAUUGGAAAUAUAGGAGUCAAUUUCUACCAAAAGAUGCUAAGGUGUAAAGAAUGGACCUUUGAAGCGUGAUACCAAUCGGAGUUGCCAAUGUAUACCAUCCUUAGCACCAUUAGUAACUAGACAUUCACAAAACUAGAACACCCCGUGAGAUCAAUAUUAUAAACAAGGUUCUAGUACCACUUGUGAAGCAAAUAAAGGUCUAGUUACACUACCUAUGCAUGCUAGUUCUUCAUUUCAUCAAUCAAACAUACAACUAGCAUACACCACACAAGCAAGGUAUCGAAGAGAAAGCUUCUAAAGCUAAUGCAAUUGCAAGCAAACAUAUGUGAUGCACAUUCAAAUGCAACAUACAAGUUUAUGAGCUUGCUCCCCCUACUUGUGUGUUUCAAAUUUUGAUUGAUCCCUUUCUUUUAUCAUGUUACUCCCCUAUCUUAAAUCUUUAGGAAAUUUUCUUCCCCUUUGUCAUCAAUGACCACAAAAGGUGAGCUCAAAUUUCAGAUAGGUUAGUGUGGAACCAUGUGAAGUGAGAUCAUUUUCCCAAAUUGGUCCAAUCUAGAUUACUUGCCUAAGAUAUUUAACUCGGUUUGAUCCAAGGACAAACUUCUUCACACCUCCAAAUAAGGGUUAUCUUGUACCAUGUUGAGUUAAACACUUAUAGCUCAUAUUCUAGAUCAAACACUAGCAUUGCAAGCCCACAAACAUGUCAUAUGCUACCACUAGAUCAAGUAAAGCAUAGAAGCAAUAGUGGUACCAUACAAGCAUCAAAUUCAUUUGAUUUUCAUGAAGGAGCCUAAGACAUGUAAGGGAUGACUAGAUGCACUAACAAGUCCUUAGCAUAGGAUGGAUGAUAUGUCAAACAAUUUUACCUUGCUUUGCUCGAAGCAGAGGCAUAUCAUAAUGUGGGGGUGCAUCAACACAUAUUUGAGAAGUCAAGUAUGUUCAAUUCAUUCCUUAGCUUGCAAAACCUCUUCUCAUCAAGUGGCUCGGUGAAUAUAUCGGCAAGUUGAUCAUCGCUGCCUAUACUCUCAAUGCAAAUGUCCCAUUUUUGUUGGUGAUCUCUUUUAAAAUGAUGGUGGACAUCUAUGUGCUUUGUUCUUGAGUGUUGAACCAGAUUGUUGAUGAGCUUCACAACACUUUCAUUGUCACAUAGCAAUGGCACUUCAUUGAAAUUGAUUCCGAAAUCUUUCAAUGUUGCCUUCAUCCAUAGAAUUUGUGCACAACAACUCCCGGCCGCAAUGUACUCCGCUUCGGUGGUUGAUAGUGCAACACUAUUUUGCUUCUUGGAUGACCAUGAGACAAGUGAUCUUCCCAAUAGUUGACAUGUGCCCGAUGUGCUUCUUCUCUCAACUUUGCAUCCCGCAUAGUCCGAGUCGGAAUAUCCAACAAGUUCAAACUUUGCACCUUUGGGAUACCACAAACCAACAUUUUGUGUAUGCUUCAAGUACCUCAAUAUUCUCUUUGUUCCUUUCAAAUGGCUUUCUCUUGGUGAGGCUUGGAAUCUUGCACACAUGCAUACACUAAACAUGACAUCCGGUCUUGAUGCGGUCACAUAGAGUAGGCUUCCAAUCAUAGACCGAUAUAACUUUUGAUCCACCAUAUUUCCACUUGUAUCAUUAUCUAGGCUUCCAUUUGUUCCCAUUGGAGUGCUAAUUGACUUUGCAUCAUCCAUUCCAAACUUCUUGAGCAUGUCUUUUAUGUACUUGCCUUGACUCACAAAUGUGUCAUUCUUCAAUUGCUUGAUUUGAAGACCAAGGAAGUAACUAAGUUCUCCAAUCAUUGACAUUUCAAACUCAUUAGCCAUCAUGUUUCCAAACUCCUCACAAAAUUCUUGGUUGGUUGAUCCAAAUAUGAUAUCAUCAACAUAUAUUUGCAACACAAACAAGUCUUUGCCAAUCUUCUUGGUGAAGAGAGUGGUGUCAACCUUGCCCAUCUUGAAACCUUUAGAGAGUAAGAAAUCUCUCAAUCUCUCAUACCAUGCUCUUGGUGCUUGCUUCAAACCAUACAAUGCCUUUCUUAGCUUGUAAACAUGGUUGGAUUUCUUGUCAUCUUCAAAACUGGGAGGUUGCUCAACAUAGACUUCUUCAUUGAUAUAGCCAUUGAGAAAUGCACUUUUCACAUCCAUUUGAUAUAAUUUGAUGUUAUGGGCACAAGCAUAGGCCAACAAGAUCCUAAUUGCUUCCAAUCUUGCAACCGGGCCAUAUGUUUCACCAAAGUCAAGACCUUCAACUUGAGUAUAGCCUUGUGCUACCAAUCUUGCUUUGUUCUUUACAACUAUCCCAUCUUGAUCUUGCUUGUUGCGAAAGACCCAUCUAGUACCAAUGACAUUGUGAUCACUAGGCCUCUCAACUAACUCCCAUACUUGAUUUCUCUUGAAAUUGUUAAGCUCUUCAUGCAUGGCAUUGACCCAAUCAACAUCUCUCAAUGGUUCAUCAAUCUUCUUUGGCUCAAUGUGAGACACAAAGGAGAAAUGCUCACAAAAUGAUGCUAGUCUUGAUCUAGUUUGCACUCCUCUUUGAAUAUCAGCAAUGAUAUGAUCCAAUGGAUGAUCUCUUGCAAUGUUUGUUGGUUGGAGUACUUGCACUUGAUUGCUUGCACUUGGUUGAUCAUGAGAUGAUGUACUAGCUUGUUGAUCUUGCACUUGAGUACCACUUGUACUAGCUUGAUUUUGAUCAUGAGAACCACUAGCUUGCACAUUGGAGGUAGGAAGCACUUGAUCUUUGUCAUCUUCAACAUCAAUCACUUCUCUACGCCUUAAAUCACCAAUGUCCAUAUUCUUCAUUGCAUCGGCCAAUUGAGUGCCUCUCACAUCAUCUAGAUUCUCAUCUUCCUCUUGAGAGCUAUAGGUUUCAUCAAACUCAACAUCAUGCACCUCUUCAAGAGUACCACUAGCCAAAUUCUGAACUCUAUAAGCUUUGCUAGUAGUGGAGUAACCAAGCAUGAAUCCUUCAUCACAUUUCUUUUCAAAUUUACUCAAUCUAGUGCCUUUCUUCAAUAUGUAGCAUUUGCAACCAAAAACCCGAAAAUAUGCAAUGUUGGGUUUUCUUCCAUUCAAGAGCUCAUAUGGUGUCUUCUCCAUCAUUGGGUGACAAUAGAGUCGGUUGCUAUAGUAGCAAGCCGUGUUGAUUGCUUCGGCCCAAAAAGAAUGACUCACAUUGUACACAAUCAACAUUGAUCUUGCCAUGUCAAUUAAGGUUCUAUUCUUUCUCUCAACAAGACCAUUUGAUUGUGGAGUGUACUUGGCCGAGAAUUGAUGCCUAAUACCAAAUUCAUCACAAAGCUCAUCAACUCUUGUGUUCUUGAAUUCACUUCCAUUGUCACUUCUCACUUUCUUGAUGGUUGUUUCAAACUCAUUGUGUAUUCUCUUGACAAAUGAUUUGAAGGUUGCAAAAGCAUCACUCUUGUCACUAAGAAAGAAUACCCAUGUAUAUCUUAUGAGAUCAUCCACUAUCAAAAAUCCAUAUUUGUUUCCACCAGUGCUUGUGUAUGUGGUUGGUCCAAAUAAGUCCAUGUGCAACAACUCAAAUGCCUUGCAUGUACUCAUGAUACCUUUCUUUGGAUGAGUGUUGCCAACUUGCUUUCUGGCUUGACAUGCACUACAAAGCUUGUCUUUCUCAAAAGUGACAUCUUUCAAGCCUCUAACAAGAUCAUGUUUCACUAACUUGUUCAAUUGUUUCAUUCCAACAUGACCAAGCCUUCUAUGCCAUAACCAACCCAUGCUAGAUUUAGUGAGCAAGCAUGUUGAUAAUUGAGCUUCACUAGCAUUGAAAUCAACCAAGUAUAGAUUCUCAUAUCUAAAGCCUUUGAAUAUCAAGCUAGAGCCAUCUACACUUAUGAUCUCUACAUCAUCAACUCCAAAUAUGCAUUUGAAACCAAGAUCACAAAGUUGAGCUACGGAUAGCAAAUUGAAGUUCAAGCUCUCUACUAGUAGCACAUUGGAAAUGCUCAAGUCAUUGGAUAUAGCAAUUUUACCAAACCCUUUGACCUUGCCUUUGCUAUUGUCACCAAAUGUGAUACUAUCAACACCAUCAUUUGGAUUGAUUGAAUUGAACAUUCUUGAAUCACCGGUCAUGUGUUGUGUGCACCCACUAUCAAGCACCCAAUGCCUUCCUCCGGCUUUAUAGUUUACCUACAAAACAAAUCCAUGUUUCUUAGGUACCCAUACUUGUUUGGGUCCUUGGAGGUUAGUGACUAAGCUCUUUGGUACCCAAAUGGCCUUCUUCUUUGGACCCACAAUUGGUGUACCAACAAACUUAGCAUACACACCCUUCUCACCCUUGGUAAGCACAUAACAAGAAUCAAAAGGAAUGUAAGGUACAUUAGCAUUUUUCUUGUUCUUGUUCAUUUUGUUGCAAUUAAGCUCUAGGUGCCCAACUUGCUUGCAUUUGUUGCAAUACCGACCAUUGCUCUUCACAAAGCUAGGCUUGUGAGUUGCAAAGGCUUUCUUGCCCUUCUUGGGGGUAUAGCCUAAUCCCUCUUUAUUGAGAGAAAACCUUUGGCUACCCAAGCACUUUAGCAAGCGGGCCUCACCACCAUAGGCUUUGCCUAGGGCAUGAGUGAGCUCAUCCAACUCUCUCUUGAGAGUCUCAUUCUCAACCUUUAGUGAGGUGUCACAAGUAACACUAACACUAGAAGUGGAGGUAGAGUUGGUGGUGGUGGAUGAAGACCUACAAGAAGAGUUAGUGGCAACAAUAAUAAGUUGGUUGGGUGAUUCUUUAAUUAAGUCACAUGUUGUGCCCAUAUCACAUGAUACAACAACCUUUUCCUUGUUCUCUUCUAACAACAAGGAGUGAGCUUUCUCAAGCUUGGUGUGAGCCUUGCCAAGCUUCUCAUGGGCUUCCACUAGCCUCUCAUGAUUAGCAUUGAGCUCAUCAAAGGAUUCCUCAAGAGCUUUCAACUUCUUGGCCAAUUCUUUGCACUUCUUGUUUUUAGAUUAGCCUUCUCAUGUGAUUGCGCCUUCUUCUUGGAUGUCUUGUCAUCAUCACUAGAAUCAUCAUCCGAAGAAGCAUCACUAUCCCAUGUCACAACAUAGGAUCCACCCUUCUUCUUCUUCUUGAAGACCAUCUUCUUCUCUUUCUUUUCUUUCUUCUCCUUCUUGUUCUUCUUGUCAUGCUCAUCAUUGUCACUAUUGUAAGGACAAUUCGCCACAAUGUGAUCGGGGCUCUUGCACUUGUAGCAUAGCCUCACAUGCUCUUUGUUCUUGAAGUGAUCUCUUCUCUUUCUUGUGUGAUAGCCCUUCUUCUUCAUCAUCUUGCCAAAUUUGCGGACAAAUAGUGCUAGUGCUUCAUCAUCACUAUCAUCAUUGGAGCACUCCUCAUCACUUGAUUCUUCUUUCUUGGCCUUGCCCUUGUUCUUGCUCUUGGAUGAAGAGCUAGCUUUGAAUGCUACACUCUUCUUCUUCUUGUCAUCCUCAUCCUUCUUCAUGACCUCAUCAUCAUCAUUGUCAUUAUAUUGAUCUUCGGUCAUGACAUCUCCAAGUACCUCAUUGGGAGAUACACCGGUCAAUCCACCUCUAAAGAUGAUUGUUCUCAAUGUCUUGAACCUCUUGGGCAAGCACAUCAAGAACUUGUGAAUGAAGUCCUCAUCUUUCACUUUCUCACCAAGGCCCUUGAGAUCAUUGAUGAUGACUUAGAGCCUAUAGAACAUCUCCGGUAUAGACUCAUCAUCCUUCAUCUUGAAGAUGGAUAGCUUGUCCUUGAGCAUAUACAAUUUGGCACUUUUUACCGUUGUAGUGCCCUCAUAUGUUUCUUCUAGCCUUGUCCACACUUCACUUGCUCUCUCAAGAUCUUUGACUUUUUCAAAUACCUUUGAAUCAAUGCCAUUAUAGAUUGUGUUGAGAGCCAUUGUAUUGCAUUGCUUGUUUGCUCUCUCAUUGUCGGUGAGGUUGGCGGGGUCAAGGAUCAGAAAGUCAUUCUCCGUGACUUCCCACACUAUAUCAUUGAUUGAUCCAAGGUACAACUUCAUUUUUCUCUUCCAAUAGUCAAAGGAACUUGUGCCAUCAAAGAAUGGUGGUUUGCCCCCAACAUGGUUGAACACUAUUUGAGCCAUAAUUGGAGCACCGAGGUUGUUAAGCCUUCACAAACGGUGACCACGGCUCCGAUACCACUUGAAAGGUCCUAAUAUGGCUAGAGAGGGGGUGAAUAGCCUAUAUAAAACUUCUACAAAAACACUAGAGAAAGAGGUUAGUAAAUAACAAAGCGAAGCUUUUUGCUCUAGCUCUAAUGGGGUGUUUGCAAGCCACCUACCCAACAAUUCUAGUUGCUAUGAUCACUAUGCACACAAGAACUAUGUCUCUACUUACACUAGAGAGCUACCUAAAGUUUCUAUACAAGAAGUAAGCUACUCUAGUUUGCAAGAAAGUAAGAGAGAGAGUUUGAUCUUUAUACCACCACGUAGAGGGGAUGAACCAAUCACAAUAUUAUGAAGUCCAAUCACCGGGAGAAAUCCAAUCAACAAACACAAUGGAGACACAAGAUGUUUCUCCCAAGGUUCACGUGCUUGCCGACACGCUACGUCCCCAUUGUGUCGACCAACACUUGGUGGUUCGGUGGCUAAGAGGUGUAGCAUGAACCUCGUCCUCACUAGGACACCACAAGAACCCACCCACAAGUGAGGUAGCUCAAUGACACGAGCAAUCCACUAAUGUUGCCUUUGGCUCUCCGCCGAGGUAGGCACAAACCUCUCACAAUCACCGAAAGAUGGCCACGAACAAUCACCAACUUGUGCAAAUCCUCCUCCGCUGCUCCAAGCCGUCUAGGUGGCGGCAACAACCAAGAGUAACAAGAAAACCGCAGCUAGAAUGAUCCCCAAGUGCCACUAGAUGCAAUCACUCAAGCAAAUACACUUGGAAUCACUCCCAAUCUCACAAAGGUGUAUAAUCUAUGAAGGAGAUGAGUGGGAGGUGUUUGCUUAGGCUCACAAGGAUGUCAAGUAUGUUAGAAUGCCAAGAGAGUGAGCCCUAAGCGGGCCAACAACUAUUUAUAGACCCCUCAAACAAAUAGAGCCGUUGGCUCUCUUACUAGGUCUAACUCGGGGUCACCGGACGCUCUUAAAGGGGCACCGGACACUCAACACCUGCGUCCGGUGCUCCAACGUCAGCCGCGUGUCAGAAUCUAAUGGUAACGUGUAGAGCACCAGACGCUGAGCAAGUUUCCACCGGACGCGUCCGGUGCACACCGGACCCGUGCGCAGAGAGCACCGUAAACUUGCAGGGUCACCGGACGCAAGCCACCGGACGCACCCUAAGCGUCCGGUGCACACCAGACUCAUGCGCAGAGAGGGUCACCAAACUGCCUGCACACCGGACGCUGAGCACCGGACUCUCACCAAACGAGUUAAGUUAGCUCACUAGGUUCUAAAUGCAUGCACAAGAACAAUGACACCUAGUGGCACUUGAUAACAGCUUCGCCAAAGAAUUCCCCUCUUUAUAGUACGGCUAUCUAUCCUAAAUGUGAUGACACCCUUUAUGGUGUCUUGAUCACUAAAACCAAAACCCUAAGCAAUACCUUUGCCUUGAUCUCCAUAGGGUUUUGUUUUUCUCUUUCUUCUUUUCCAAGUUGAGCACUUGAUCAUCUUGUGGUCAUCACCACCAUCACCAUGAUCAUUACUUGCUCCAUCACUUGGCAUGUACCAACCUCAUUAAGUCUACACACACUUAGUAUGGAGGUUAGUACAAGGGUUUCAUCAAUUAUCCAAAACCAAACUAGGGCUUUCAGCGGUCAACGCCUGCGGUCUCGACCAGCCAGGCGUCGGUGGCCCCGACCCCUUUGGCGGGACAAGAAACCCGUGCGGGCGAGCAACCCGAGCAGUAGGUUCAUAGAGUAGUGUGUAGUAAUAGACUAGAAGCCGCCCAGAGGGGUGUUCACUGUAAACUUUGUAUAUAAAGUUUGUAAUAAAGUCUGAAUUUUGAGAACCAUGGUUUUGAGCGCUGUAAAUAAAUUUGCUUGAGUGAUGUAUCACUGAAUCAUGUCGAGUGCCCUUUAGUAGCUUGUCAAGGAAAGUUAUUGUUGCACUUGUCGAGUAUUCUACAUAUGUAAAAGUAUAUAGCAAAAAAGACAAACUUUAUUAUUAUUCAUCAAAAAAGAGGUACAAGUAAUAUGUACUGAAACUUAGGGAUAGAAACGCCAUAAUUUGUCUAUGUGCCACGAGUUGGGCAGGCUUGUUCCAUCUGGGUGCGCCAGCCUAUAAGAUGUAGGGCGUGUAACUUCGGCGACCACAAAAGGUCCCUCCCAGGGGGUAGAUAACUUGUGCAUUCCCUCUUGGCUUGUUUUCCAUUUGAGUACCUGAUCACCGACCACAAAAGAGCGGUCCUUGACGUUCUUGUUGUAGUAUCGUCUUAUGGCCUCGAGGUACCUUGAUGUUCGAAAGCAAGAUGCCAAACGUCUUUCUUCUGUGCAGUUGAUUUCAGUUUCUCUGGCGUGGUCUGCUAAAGAUUGGUCGAAAUGCUCGACUCUUGGGGAUCCGAAGGCUAUGUCAGAGGGGAGCACUGCCUCAGCCCCAUAAACCAUGAAGUAGGGGGAUACGCCCAUGUUCUAACUAGGCUGUGAUCGGACGCCCUAGACCACUGUUGGUAAUUCUUUCAUCCACUGCCUCGGUGCCUUGUCAUUUUCCAUGUACAGACUUUUCUUUAGUGCAUCAAUAAACAUCCCAUUGGCUCGCUCGACUUGACCAUUGGCUCGAGGAUGGGCUACUGACACGUAUUUUAUAACUAUGCCUCUGUCAUCACAGAAGUCCCAAAAUGUAGUGCCAGUGAACUGAGUGCCUAGGUCGGUGAUUAUGCUAUUGGGAAUCCCAAAUCUAUGUAUGAUUUGAUUGAGGAUUUCUACAACAUUCUCAGAAGUCACUUUUACCAGUGGCAUGUACUCGAUCCACUUAGAGAACUUGUCAAUUAGCACGAACACGAACUUGAAAUUGUCGGGGGCUGGUUUGAAUGGCCCAAUCAUGUCAUGACCCCAACAGGCAAAAGGCCAAGAUGACGGAAUGGUCUGGAUCUCAUGAGCAGGUACGUGGAUCCUUUUGGUGAAGAACUGGCACCCUUCGCAAUGUCGGACCAGCUUCUCGGCGUCGGUGUUGGCGUCUGCGGUUGGCCAGUAGAAAACUGCUAAGAAGCCUUUCCGACCAGUGUUCUAGAGGCGGCAUGGUUGCCACAGGACCCAGCGUGUAUGUCAUCUAGCAGUUUGAUACCAUCUUCUUGCGUUAUGCAUUUCAACAAGACUUCUGAACUUGCGUUCUUGCGCAUAAGUUUUCCAUCAACCAGUAUGUAGUUUUUGGCUCGUCGGAUAAGACAUUCGUUCUCUGUUUUGUCUUGAAAUCCCGAGCCAUCCGAGAGGUACUUAACGAAAGGAGCGCGCCAGUCGUUGCCACUGGUUGUCGGGGUGUCGUUCCCUACGAGCAGCGUCUCAUUGGGUGGCUUGUCGACCAGGUCUGUUUUGACGCUUGGUGUGUGGAUGUCUUGAACAAAAACACCUUGUAGAAUCUGGGCCCGGGAUGAUCCUAUCUUUGAUAGCGCAUCUGCUGCUUGAUUCUUGUCGCGGACCACGUGAAUGUAUUCCAUACAAUAAAAAUUUGAUUCCCACCUACGGAUUUCUUUGUAAUACAGGUCCAUUUUCUCAUGGGUCGUGUCCCACUCCUUAUUUAAUUGGUUAAUUACCAGGGCAGAGUCACCGUAGACGUAAAGGCGCUUGACUCCUAGUUCGACGGCCAAUCGGAUGCUGUGCAGGCAUGCUUCGUACUCGGCGACAUUAUUGGAUGCCGGGAAGAGGAUCCUACGGACGUAGUGUAGUUUGUCCUUGAUUGGUGGAAUGAAAAGGAUUCCGGCACUAGCGCCAUUGAUGUUUAAGGACCCAUCGAAGAAAAUUGACUAGUGAUCGAAGACAUCUAGAGAGGGUGGCGCGUUGAGAUCCAUCCAUUCUGCAAUAAAGUUGACCAGGGCUUGAGACUUGACGGUUGUGCGACUCUAGAAAUCCAAAGAAAAAGGGCAUAACUCCAUGGCCCACUUUACAAUUCUACCGUUGGCGUCCUUGUUGCGCAAGAUGUCCCCCAACGGAAAACUCGUAGUAACUAGAACGUGAUGGCCAUCGAAGUAGUGCUUCAGCUUCCUUGAGGUGAUUAAGAUGGCGUAGAUUAAUUUUUGUAUCUGGGGAUACCUGGUCUUAGACUCUUUAGGACUUCGCUUAUGAAGUAUACUGGUCUCUGGACUUUGUAAACGUGGCCUGGUUCAUCCCGCUCUACCUCGAGCACCGUAGAGACGACCCGAUCAGUUGCUGCUAUAUAGAGGAGAAGGUCCUCAUUAGGUUGAGGCGCGGUGAGGACGGGUGGUAAGGUGAGAAAGGUUUUGAGCUGGGCGAAUGCGACAUUGGCCUCUUUUAACUAGGAGAAUUUCUCGGACGCCUUUAGUAGAUUAAAGAAAAGAAGCCCUUUUUCUCCCAGCCUAGAAAUAAACCGACUGAAAGCAGCCAUGCAUCCCGUGAACUUUUGAACGUCUUUUACAUUUCUUAGUGGUCGCAUAUCGAACACCACCUUGACUUUUGAAGGGUUUGGUCGUAUGUCGUCACGGUUGACAACGUUGCCGAGCAUUAUACCGGAGGGGACCCCGAAGAUGCAUUUUUUGGGGUUAAGCUUCCACUUGUACUUGUUUAGCGCUUUAAAUGUGUGGUCUAGGUUGUCGAUCAGAGUGCUAGCAUCCCUGGUCUUAACGACAACGUCGUCAACGUAAGCUUCGACAAGGUCGUCACGUAUCUCAUCAUGGAGGCAUUGUUGAAUGGCGCGUUGAUAGGUGGCUCUGUCAUUUUUAGUCCAAAGGACAUGGUGGUGUAGCAAUAUGUACCAAAAAGAGUGAUGAAGGAGGUUUUGAUCUGAUUGUCAUCUUUUAAAGAGAUCUGGUGAUAACUAGAGUAGCAAUCGAGAAAAGAAAGUAGUUUGCAUCCGGCCGUUGAGUCGACCACUUCGUCUAUGUAGGGAAGACCAAACGGAUCUUUAGGACAUUGUUUAUUGAAAUCGGUGUAAUCAACGCACAUUCUUCAUUCAUUAUUCUUUUUUCUUACAAGGACCAGAUUGGCGAGCCAAUCGGGGUGAUACACUUCUUUAAUAAACCAGGCUGCUAAAAGCCGUGUAAUCUCUCUCCUAAUAGCCUCCUUUUUGUCACGAGCGAACCGUUGUAGCUUCUGCUUGAUAGGUCUUGCGGUCUUCAAGACGUUUAAGGACUGCUCGAUCAGGCUUCAUGGGACGCCAGGCAUGUCUGCGGGUUUCCAUGCGAAAAUGCCUACAUUGUCCCUUAGAAACCUGACGAGCGCGUCUUCCUAUUUGGCGUCUAGAUUGGCCGCGAUGAGAGCCAUCUUCUCUGGGCUACCAUCGAUCAGUUGGACUUCCUUGUGGUCCCUGGAGUUGGUGCUUUUUCUUGAAGUCUCCUACUCAGGUAGUUUGAGCUAGUCAGGUGAUAUACGUGUUGCUUGCGCUACUGUUUCUGCCAUGCGAAUCGAGAGUGUUGGGCAUUCUUAACGUCACUACCAAAAGUAGACUUAGUUUUCUAAUUCUAAUAACGGCGCCAAAAAUGCCAAACCUAUCUCUCAUGCCACUUAAGCCAAGUUGUCAUCCCCAGCAUGACAUGAGAGACGCGGUAUUGAAAUAUGCAAUUGCUCUUCUGAAUAAAUAAUAAAUGAGAUCUGCAAGCGCACAGAUUAAUACCGAUGUAGUAUUUUAUCCGGGAAGUAUUCUAGGUAUCGUUAUUUAUAUUUUUACCACUUGGAAGGGAUUUCUAAACAUCAAUGUUGAUUAUGAAAUGGAAUAUAAGAUUGAGUAUCUAUCAUUGCAUGUAUAAUUGAGAGCAUUUAUCUAUUUAUUUCAUACAGGAAUAAGUGUCACAUAAAAGAUAGAUAAAGUAUGAAUGGUGACAAAGAUAAUUAAUCUGAUCAGCAUAACUUAGCCACGUAUAAAUAUGAUAAGCACCUCAAUAGAUAUUCUAGCAAGUCAUUAGCAUGGAAUUAGGACGAACUACAAGAAUGUUUCCUAAGUUAUUCUUAACUAUAAAGUCUAGCAUAUCAUAGUUAGUCCAAUUAUGCUUGGCAAUCAUUGCGAGACAGGACUACGCAUAUGCAUAGUGAUAUCAUCAAGGAAUAUGAGAAACAUAGCAAUCACUCCCCUAUAAUAAUGUUGCUCUGCCAGCCCUAUACACGAGAGGGGGACUAUAUAAGAAUCAAUGGAACUGUCACUACCACGAGCUACCCCGCGAUCUGGCAUAUAGGGUACAAUCGCAGAUAAAUACGGUAUAGGCACCAUGCCUACACAAUACUUAUCAUUUACCCACUGUACACACGGAUAAACGCUAUACGAUCCUAAAUAUGUAUAUAAUUCCAAACUAACUAAGCCAAACAUAUAACUAUGAUAAACUAAGAACAAUAUAAUUGCGAAUAUAAACAAGUAGAGCAAAGUCAUAAUCAAUAUAUUGAAGUUGAACAAAGUCAUAUUCAUAAUAUUGAAGAACAAAGAUGAACAAUUGAAGAGCAGUAGAGGAAUUACCAAGAAUCCUCUUGACAGAUCAGGAAACCAAUCGAAGAUUGACUCCUUCUAGUUCUAAUCCUAUGUAGCUAUGCUAAACUAGAGAUCUAAUUGAUGUGGUGGCUCUAGGGCUUGAUCAGAGACUUCUUCUCCCAACAUGAAUAUUGAAUUAGGGGUCUGAGGGAUAGAGGUCCUCUCCUCUAGGGGCCAGGGGGUCUGCUUAUGUAGUCCUUCCAAUUGAAUAUGGGCCAUUAGAUCAAACCGACAUUAAUCGCACAGUUUUCCUUGAUCCUUUAGGUCAGUGGAGCAUGAUCUGCAAAGUUGAACGUGAUUGGCUCCGAGGCCAGGGUGGGCGCCCAAGGGGGUAGGGCGGGCGCCCUGCCCCCGAGCCCGUUCAGUCUCCCGUUCGUUCCCGUGGCUUCUGGACUCUUCUAUAUGUAGGAUAAUUGCACGGCACGUUAAUAUCUCUAUGUAAACCCGACGUGUGGGCCUUUCCUCCAUAUUUCCUGAUAACCCCCUGCAGAAAUAGACAAACACCAAAACUUGUGGAAUUCUGUUAGAUAAAACCCUAAGUCUGGAUGUCGAUUGCAUUUGGAUCCUUUUCUUUGUUUAUUUGUUAAUUAAAUUUUAUACUUAAGGACCGUCAACAAACUCCCCCAAGCUUACCUCUUGCUCGUCCCUGAGCAAGGAUAAUCUAAGUGAUGGAUCAGAAGUUGAUGUAAUGCCUUUAAAAAUUGACGGUACACAUGCUUUCAAAUGAGGUCUCAUCUCUGAGUUAGAGUAAACUGUCAAGACUUAAAACUUAUUCAUCUUACCGGACUUGUAACCGUCACUUCUGUCUUGUGUAGUUAAAAGAUAAAACGGUCUAAUCAAGUGCCUUGUCUCUUAUUCUUGAUCAGCUAUAGCUCUGGAGUUUUUGCAGAUUUUCAAAUAAAACUCAGAGAUUCCUUGUAUGACUCUCUCAUAUCUCUCUUUAUGGUAUUUCUAGAUCCUUACCAAGGCAGUGAUGGUAUAUGCCUUCUCUCAAAGUAUAUGGUAUUUGUAGUAUAAAACAUAGUGACAUUGCCUUCUCUCUCAUCAUACUCUAAUAAGGUUUUGAUAUCUAGAGCUCAUAUGUGGGAGAUAAAGUAUACAUACUUACAAGACAUUUAUUGCAUAGUCAAACCAUGGAUCCAAAGAAACAAGUCAAUAAGUCAAAUCAAGAUGUGCAUGUGUGGCGAAUGAAUGGUGUAUUCUUUUUCUUUCCUCUCAUGUGGAUAUCUUGUACCCCUAAUUCUACUAUCGAAAACUUGUCCAUUUUUACCUCUCGUCUCACUUUUUCUUUUCUUUCGACGUUCCGGACACUUGCCCCUUUUUAUUUCCCCAUAUUUUUUUUAGAGCACUCAUCUCGUGAAAUAAUAUAGCAAGUGGUAGUAACCAAGAUAACUCGAGCAUUUAUUUCACAGGGGAAAAACAGAAAUGUUUUCGCUAUUCUCUCCCAGAUUAGGAGUAGAAUAUUUUUAGGUGGUUCUGGAGAUGGAUAUAUGUGGAUGCGUACUUCUGGAGUAGAAGCAGCAUGUGUGAGUGAACGUGCAAGUGAAUCUUGAUUUAACCACAUGACAAGCUCCUAAGGGUCUACACAGCUUGACCACACUCAAUGCUCAUAAGCAGUAAAAAAAAGUAAAUGUGUGGCUCAAAGUCUAGUAAGCAUGUAUAUAUGGCUGUGGUAGGAAUUUAAACUCUCAUCAUACAGGAACUCAUCAUGUGUUAUUUUAAAGAUUUUUCAAAGAUAAAAUUCUCCAGAUUUCUAGCAUCUCUAGGAACAGAUAAACAGCAGCUCAACCUUCCCAUAUUGUAUCCGUUAACAACUUAGACUUCAGAUCAAGUUUUCUUCCCACAAGUUUAGGUUUAGAGCAAGCUUUAAAUUAUAACAGUUAUGUCUAAACUUGAGAGAAAACUUCAAAUUUGAAAAAUUAGGUAGAGCAACUAUUCAUCAUAUCCAUGCUAGAGUUUUAUUAUUAAGAUUCAGUUUAGCAUAGCCACUUUAUUUAUUUAUUAAACACACUAAGCAAAAAACAUAUAUUUAUAUAUAAGCACACUACAAGAAAUGUGUCAUCUUUUGACAUUUGAUAUAUGUCAUAAUUCAUAUGAAAUAAGUCACAGAUCACCAUUUAUGACAUGAAGUUGACAAAAACUGAAAUGUCAAAAGAUGCGCGUCUUUAAUAACAACUUGUGACGUUUAAGUGUUCAUGUCAUAAUAUUAUGACAUUGGUUUUGGAUGUCACAAGCGUUUAUGACUUCUACUUUUAUGUCAUAGGUUCUUAGGCCUUGUCACAUAGGAUGACUCUUGAUUUGGCUCGAUCCAUACCAUUACCCCACCCACACAUCAAACAAUCCACAUUAACAUAUAUAGGUCCAACAAUAUAUUACAUUCUUGGCCAAAUCAAUAGGUUCACAAGUCAUUCAUCAACAUAUUUAUUACAUUCAUCACGAACACCAAACUAUAGUUCAACAAGUGACCUUAGUCACAAAGAUAUCUCAGAUAAAGUAAACAAAUGAAAUCUCACAUCCUAUCUCACAAGUGUCCUUAGUCACCAAACUAAUAGUUAAAUAGGUGCUGGCAGCUAGGUCUUCUUGGUGUCAGGAGCAUGUGUGAAUACCUUAGGUUGCUGGAAUUUUUCCAUGUCCUAUAGAAAAUACAACAGAAACAAACAUCACUCGUUGAAACAAAUGAAAAAGUAAAAAAAAAGAACUUUACAUAUGUUGGUACCUGCAGCAUAAGUACACAGAAGUUACCAAGGCAUCACAGUUUUUAUGAGUUUUCCAUUACUUGUACAUAAAACCAACUUCACCUAGAGUUCUUGAUCAAUGCAUAACUUUCUGUUCUUAGCUUUCAUGUUGUAUGUCACAAGCAUGCAGAGUUCAUAGUUUUCAGAGGCUAAACAAAAAGGUACAAUACAUGAUUACUAAGAAAACUGCAUCGUGGAGAAGCUUUCAAUCUUGCCCUGUUUUCACCAGUCUUAUUUGAUAAAAGUAGAAUUACAAUGACACAAAACAAGCUUGCCGAAUCAAAAUACCGGGCGAGCAGAUAUCACCAUUCCUUUUCUAUACAGGACCAAUCUGCCACACAUGUUUGGUCACAAAAUUGCAAGCACAAUGUACCUGUGUUAGCCAAGAUAUUUUCUUCAGAUUAAAUUCAUGAAAUAUUGGUCAACAAAGUUGGGAUAAUCAUUUGGAAUCUGAUAUCAGCUAUAUGAGAAUUUUUAUUUGACACAAACAGAGCAUACACCUACACAGCAUGCUAAGCUUGGUUUCAGUUAUUUAAGGUGGUAGAGGCCCUGGUUAUUUGUCAUGUCAUUUAAUACAGUGCAACACUAAAUGUAUACUGUUGGGAGGGCAUCUAAUCAGUGAAAGAAACACUAGAAAGCGAUCAAGCAGUUUGCUGUGAUUGCAAAUAAAGAAACAAAGUUUGACAGUUAUUUACCUGCAAGUGAAAAGCUUCAUUCACUUUUUUUUGUGAAACGAAAAGCUUCAUUCACUGAAUUUAUAAGCUCAAGAACUCACCUCAUUGCAGCCCAAACUGACAUUCUUUAAAAAGCCCAGAUCCUGAAAGUCCAGUGUAAAGACUGUGAUGGUUGAGUGGGAGAAAAAUACCACACAUUCUAUGCAUAUAAGUGUACAGCCAACACAAAGAUAUAUAUAUCACAUUCUGCUCGUUGAUUAAAGGACUGUAAUGGUUGAGUGGGAGAAAAAUACCACACAUUUUGCUCGUUGAUUAAAGGACUGCAUCAGUCGAAGCUUAAAACCUCAUUUAUGUGUUCACAAUGAAUUAAGAUUCAUCCAAAUAAAUAGUUAAACAACAUGCUAGCCUCCCAGAUCUUAUCUAACCAAAUAUAAGAAUUCAUAGCUCACUGCACAUUACAUACCCCAUCCUAUUUUUCCAGUGUUGUGACCUUCAAUAUGAAUUUGCAACUAACAAAUAUAAAUGUUCAUCCCACCAUAUUCAGUGAACCACAUGCAGUCCUACUAAAAAAUACACUCACAUGAAGUAUCGUGCGAAACACUAAAUCGGUCCUAACAAAACACUAAACUAGUAAAUUCUAUCUCCUCUAUUGUCGCCCAGAGUCAUCCAGUAUACAGUCUGACCCAGAUGCAAUGGCAAUAGAGUACAGCAAAAAAUUCAGAGAGAUUGGAAAGGAAUAAAACUCAACUAUAAAGAAGAAGAUUGCACAAAUGGGAGCAUGGCCGCUGGCCUAGCGCCCUGGCCCUAGUGCGUACGCUUGUAAUUAGAUCAGAACGAAAUACAAAUCGCCAAAUAGAUUAAGCUAGCUUGGCACAACAGUCAGAUCAUUGUCCCUGUUUGCUACUUAUAAAAAGACAACAAUCAGAUCUAUGUCACCUUGCAUCAUAGUAUUUGGAACACUAAAUCAGACAAAUUAGAGUUGAGCGAGAGUUUCUUUUCUAUAAAUAUGUCUCUUGUUCCAAUCUCAGAAUCAAUUCCACAAAGAUGUAGUGGGCACUGAGACACAUCUAUACACAUAAACAGGGUCACGGGUAAACAACAAUACCAAAAAGAUUUGAUUUUGAGAGCGUGAGAAGAUGCUACCUUCUGGCCUGUUUCUUCUAUGACGGGUGCCAGGAUGGCGCUUGUAGCAGAGUCCCCAGUUCUGGGAGCUUCCAUCGCCGCUGGUAGAUAUGAGGCGCUGCCGUGGCUGGUGUAGAAGGUGGCGCUAGUGUGGUCUACCGCCACCAGAUCUGGGGCUCCAGUCGUUGCUGGGAGAGGCGCCGCCGCCGGUUGGGAAGGAGCAGUCACGAACACCGGUGGGGAGGAGCAGGCGCCGUCGCCAGUGAGGAAGGAUGGCGAGGAGGACCCAUCGCUGCCGAGACUCCCAGCCUGCAGCCACAUGCGGAUCUAGCGGUGAAUGCAGCAGUGGCGCUCGAUUUCUUAGGGUAGGGCAGGGCAGGGCACGGGAUUUGGAGGGCGGCGGCUCGGUAGUUUGCAGAGGAUGAGGAAGAGUCGGGUGGGGAGGAGCGAUUUGUUCUGGGGGAGAAGGGCCAAAGGGGAGAGAGGUCACGGGGGGAGGGGAUGGGACGAAGUGUGUGGCUGAAAUUUUUUUCGGAGAAUCCAUGCUUUUGUCCUAUGCCUCUCUCUGCUUUUCUAAAAUGGCUACUGUAAGGCCUUGUUUAGUUCCACCCAAAAACUCAAAAUUUUUUAAGAUUCUCCAUCACAUCGAAUCUUUAAACACAUGCAUGGAGUAUUAAAUAUAGACGAAAAUAACUAAUUGCACAGUUUGGUCGGAAUUGACGAGACGAAUCUUUUGAGCCUAAUUAGUCUAUAGUUAGAUAAUAAUUACCACAAACAAACGAAAGUGUUACAGCGUCACGAAAUUUUUUCCUUCGGGAACUAAACAAGGCCUAAUUAUUUUUCUUUAUAUUUGAUAAUUAUUAUCCAACCAUAGACUAACUAGGCUCAAAAGAUUCGUCUUGCAAAUUACAGACAAACUACAUAAUUAGUUAUUUUUUAUCUAUGUUUAAUGCUCCAUGCAUGUGCCACAAGAUUUGAUGUGACGAAGAAUCUUAAAAAAUUUUGUAAUUUUUUUGGAACUAAGCAACCCCUAACAUAGAAAACAUUGUCACGAUAUGGAGUUUAACUACAUUGAAGAUAUUUUUUGUGACAUGAAAUUAUAUAUGUCACUAAAUUGAGGUGGCUUUUAAAAGAACGUCAUAAACUGAUCAAUUUAGUGACAUUUUGAUCAUAUGUCAUGCCAUAAUCGUUAUAAGAUGACACAUUUCUUGUAGUGGCACAAAAUCUUUAUUUAGUUUUUCAUAGUUAUGUAUAUUUAUAUAUAGUAUAAGUAUAAAGAUACAUAGAAAUACUUAGCGAGAUAAAUGGGGGUGCUCCCCCCAAGCUGAAUUUUGACGUAAUUUCUUCUGAUGUAGCUAGCAGGUGGCAGAGGUGUAUUUGAAAGUCGGCAAUACCCUGACAGCGAUUAGAGUGUCCUCCGUCUGCUAGUCUUCUUGAUCCUUGAAUUCUGUGGAGCUCAAAUAGACAACAAAGCUUUGUGGAACUGAUUAAGUGUUAGCAUAAAUAUCUAGCCUUUAUCAUGUUGAGCCUCUUCAAUAAAUGUUACUCUCUUUGGUAGGAUCACAAUCUUAUUUUUAUAUUUUCAUUUUUAUAGAGCAGAAAAAAUAUUUAUUUUAUUUUUAUGCCACCACGGUGAAUGUUUUUAUGGGUUUUAUGCCACUCGUAUACUCACAUGGGGCUUACUAUUUUUUUUGACAUUUUUAUUUUCUUUUUAGGAUAGUAUGAUUAACUAAACAAACCAUUUUAAAUAAUUGAAAGGAAAAGGAUAACUACCAAGUUUACCACUUGGCAAGGCGUUCGGUGUUUUUAAGUCCUCCGAACGGUACUCUCCGUUUUCUCAGUCGUCCUGGGAUUCAUUAGGUGGCGUAGUCGGUGCUUCCGGCAGCGCCUCCUCUUCGUAUAUAGUUAUCUUCUCUUUCCAUACCUGACUCGGUGCUAUGGUCUCUUCAGGAUAAUCUUGUUCAAGUUGUAUGUCUUCAGACCUUACAACUUCUUCUUCAUAGUCUGCCCAUCCGUCCUUGAUGCUUUGCCUCCUCUGGUUGCGGUUGCGUCGUCUUCUUCUUGUCCUGACCUGCUUAGAAUCUUCAACUAUAUAGUUAGGGUCAGUAAAAUAGUGGCGUACCUUCUCUGAGGGGAAGUGCAUGUGGACUUCUCCAGUUCCAAUGUAGAUGAUUGCUUUAACGGUGCUGAGGAACGGUCUUCCAAGGAUGAUGGGUGGAUCGUACUCGUCUUCUCCCAUGUCAAUAACCUGAAAGCCUGCAUGGACAAAAUGAUCGUCUAUUUUUGUCGGUGUUUUCCCCACGGGGGGUCACACCAAUGAGUAAAUUUGUAUGCGUGUUCCCUUUCCCAGAUGGUGAUGCAAGAAGACACUGAGAUUUAUCCUGGUUCGGGCAAGAGAAGGCCCUACGUCCAGUGGGGGGGAGAGAGUUUGUAUUAUCUUGCACCUAAGUGCUUGUACAGGGGUGAAUACAAGCGCGGUAUGAAGUGUGGAGCUCUACUACGUAUGAGCGUGGUGUCCCCCUGUUCUAUUCCUGAGUCCCUCCUUUUAUAGUUCCAAGGAGAGACCCAGGGUACAUGUAUAGGCGUCACAAUAGGAGUCGAUAGCAGCAUGGAGCGCUGACCUACUCGAGGCUUCUGUACCGGCGUGGCCUCGAGCCGUCCCGUCUUGGUAGCCUGGCGAUGAUUACGCGUGCCCUGUUAUCCUGCUCUGCGCCCCGUCUUGGAUUGGUUUACCGGAUGUACGCUCGUACGACCCGACGGCAAACCCGGCGGAGUGGUUCGGAUGUAGUCAGUCGACGCCCAAUUCGUCCCCUGGAAGGAUCCCUGUCUGGUCGAGGUUCGGAUGCCGUACAUUGUGCUGAUAUCUGGAGCGCUGACUUCAGAUGUCUCGAGGGGGUCCCGACUAGACGUUCCAUCCUCGUUUCCCGCGUUCUGACACGUCCAGGGUCGUCUGGUGGGAAGGCUGCAAAAAGAACGAUGGGACAGAUGCUUGUUCCCUUAUCACGUCUCCCGUGACCCGUGUGUUAGGUGGGGAAGCGUCAGGUGCAUUAAAUGCCCUGGCUCUCGUGCGCGCGUCAGGCGGCGGACAGUGUCCUUGCGCUCGACGCCUCUUGAUUCGCUCGAGCCCGCUUCCGUAUUCGACGGCAGUUGGCGCUCGAGCCUUGAUCGAUUCGCUCGACGCUACUUCCGUCUUCGAGGCCGCGGCCGUCGAUGGUUGCGCGUAUGUAUGGACGGAGCGUCGAAUCGAAGAUCUAGUCUUAUGUACGGAUGGUGUCGUUACAUGUAUUGGUGAGGGUACCCCUCGUUGAUACCCUCGACAAUUUUGAUAGGGACAUCAGUUACUAUACCUUCAACCUCUCGGAAUGUCUAAUCUGCCAUCUGGAGUUGAAUGUAUGUCGGUUUUAAGGGCAUGGUUGUAACACCCCAGUGUUAUGGUUGCAUUAAUCAAGUGCAUAGCAUGAGCACCAUCAUCCACUCAAAGCAUAUCAUGAUCAUCAUCUAUCUUGAGCCAUGUCAUUCUUUGCAAAUAUGUGAUCUAAAUUGCUUAAAUAGGCUUCCUAUGCUUAUGUUGAGUGAACCAUGCUUGUGUUUGUGCUCUAUGCCUUGGCAAUUAGUUUAUCUAUGCUUAACUUAACUUUGGGAACAAUGUUCAUGUUGAUCACUUCUCCAAAAUAUGCCUUUAAGUCAUACUUGUGUCAAUAGGCCCUAGAAACCUCUUUUCCUUAGGCUUUUAAAAAAGUGUUUCAUAAAAUGUUUGCAUGUCAAAACUUUCUACAGUAAAGUUGUAGAAAAUUUUAUAAGGAACAAAAGUUGUUUUAUGGCCAUCUCAUGAAAAUGAUCACAAAUAGCACAAAAGUGACCAACAAGGCAGAUUUGGGGCUGUUUCCAACACUUAGAAAAUUUUCUAAGUCCUGGGACGAAACCAGUUUGCUUGAUCGAUUUUGAAAACUUCAUACCUCUCAAUCCAGGCCGAUCUAGCUUUUGCUCCAGUUGGCAAAGUUGUAGAUCUCGGCUAGCACUCCAACUUUGUCAACUACGCCAUCUCCUAACUCGCUCUAGUUUGGGAGCUAAUCGUCGACGAAGUAGCUCUGUGAGUCGGUGAUCGCGAGUUUCGAUUCAGAGCUGAGCUCGCCGGCGUGGAUGUCCCGAUCGACACCUGUCCACCAGAUGUCGCCCGUACGCCGGCGAUGGCCCCGCUCGUCAGCUCCCAGCGCGCGCAUGACGUCCACGGCGACGCCCCGAGCAGAGUGGACGCGUCCACUUCCGCUCUGCCUCGCCCCUCUCGCCAGAAACGCGGCCGCCGUGAGCUCUCCGUCGCGAGCUUACUCCGGUGAGCUCGCGCGCGUUCCUUGCUGCGCCAUUGUCCACCAAACUUCACCCAAAGCUCCGCCGUGUACCGCUCUCCAUUCUCCACCCACCAUCUCGCCGUGAAAUCCACCGGUGAGCCGCCAUUCCCUUCUUCCCCCAAAUCGGGUCGUCGUGACCAUCUUUUUCGACGAGCCCAAUGCCGAGCCCGGUGAAGCCUCUUGUCUCCUCUGGUAAGCUCGUAGAGGUAGAGUAGGUCCUUAGCGAGCGUUUGCGCCACUUGGUAGACGCUCUACCGAGCUCUCCGUUGCCGGACACGAGGUUUCAAGCCAAGCCACGUACCUAGGAAGCUUCGCCGUAGUCCGCUGGUGCUGUAGAAGGUCUUAGGUCACGCUCUACCGGCCUGAGGGCUCCGGCGUAACGCCGAGCACCUCCGCCGAGCCGCCAUCGUCGACGGUGAGCCCCUUUCGGUGGCUCCGCCGUGGGGAAAAGGGGGUCAAUCGAGUCGCUAGAGUCUGGGGAUCACGUUGGUGCCCCUGGUUUGGCCGGAGACCUCGCCGUCGCGGAGAAAUCGUCGGCGAAAGUCGCCUCGGCCGUGAGGAAGAAGAACCUGACAGCUGGGGUCACCUCUUUCCCUCGUUUUCUUUUAUUCAAAAUCCUGAUUUUUGGCUUUCUUGCAAAAAUCAUAUCUCCUGUUUCUGAGAUCCAAAAAUUGUGAAACCAAUUUCGUGGUAUUCCUUGAGAUGGCUAGUUUUUAAUAAAAAUAUAAAAUGAACCAUGUUUUCUGGGAAAAUAUUUAUUAAGGAUUUAAUCUUGUUAUUCAUGGAUAAAUUCAUAUCUCUGGUUAUACUAUUUUUGUUUGCUCUGAAAAUUUUAUGGUAGUCUCUGUGUGGUAUUAGAGUGCUUUGAUAAAUAUUUCAUGAUUUUUGGAGUACUGCAGCUUUGUUAUGUGAUUUAUGACUGCAAUGUAGCUUGUUUCUUUAAUUAAAUCAUAUAAAAUAAAUGAUAUUUAUGCUGGUGCUCUAUUUUGGUGGUAAACCUGUUCCUGGUAUUCCUAAUAUGCAAAUAAUCUGAAAUCUGUUGUUUGACACUAUAUAAGUCAUGUUUCUGAAGUUGUGAAAUAAAUACCUUGUUACAUGUUAAAUACAUAUCUUUAAUUUGGUAUGUGCAAUUGCUCUGAAAUUUUUAUGGUGAUGCUCUGGUGCUUUACUUGUACCUCUGUAAUUUUUGUAGAUUUUUCAGAGCAUCUUGACUAAUAUCUUGUAAUUAUGCUCUUUUCUAGAAUUAAUUAAUAAAUGCUUUGUUAAUAAACAUUUGGAGGUUAUCAUGUGAUGAUCUGGUAACCUUAUGUUGUGUUUGUACUCAUAAGCCAUGUGGUUGGCAUUGUUUAUGUUUUGGUCAUGUCAUCACAUAUUUAAUUCUAGGGUUAAAGGCUGUUCUGGACAGCAAGGGAGUAAUUUAGUCUUUACUUAUUGAUAACUUGGUUUUCUGGGAGGCUUGUCUAAAUCAAAGUUGUUGUAAACUUAUUGAACUAGCUGUGGUUUAAAUUUGAGGCCAUUUGGCUUAGUAGUUUGAAAGUUAUGGCUGUUCCAAGUUAGAUUCCAGAAAUAGGUGCUCUCUGUUUUUCUGGGACAGAACCUGGAACUUUGUUUAAAUGAUUGGUUUAAUGUAUGAAUCUUGCUGUGAUGUUAAAAGAUGAUUUGUAGACAAUUUCAUAAGCUUUCCAGAAUGUCCUCACUGAAGUGUGUUGGGCCUUUGUAGCAAUAGUUAUGAUCUGUUUACUGAGCUGUUCUGUUUGUGUGCUUGCUGCUAUAAGUUGACUUGCUUAGUUUGUUGAUUCAUGUGGUUUUCUUGUAAGUUAACUUAGAAGUUUACUCCGUAAAUGAGUGUCCAGUGAGUCACUUGUGUCGUCAAGCAUUCAUUCUUUGUUGUGCACCUUCUCAUUACCGAGCAUGCAAUAGGUGCAUCGGACGUGGCAGGCUCCUUCGAUCUGCAAGUGAACCCCGAAGGCCAGGUGGGCAGCCAGGAGGUGGAGGUCCAACAAGUCGGACUCGAGGAGCCCGAAGAAGAAGUUGAGUGCCCAAGUCACGAGCCAGCUUCAUUCGUGAAAGGCAAGCCCCGGAGCAUUCUAAGCCUCCCUUCACUUUUGAAAGUUUACUUAAUAUGUUAUAUCUAUUGCUGCGUUAAGUAUAGGAGUUGUGAUGAAACCUUUGCUGCAUUUUACUCAAUCCUUGUCCAGGUAUCUUACCACUACCUGGUUAUAGAGUUAGGAUCGAGUAGCAGCUUAGCCAUGCUUUAAUCGGUAGAAGUCGGGUGAUAUCCUGUCACCUGCGCGAUAUAGGGUUAUGUCGGAUCACGAUGGUCUAUAUGUGCUAUCGUGGAUGGAACCUGAUUAAUUUGACUUAAGCCGGGCGGAGUUUUGCAAGGUUGUAGUAGCUCCGUCUGUGGCAGUUAAGGACCGAUCGUUGUACGUCCUCUUGUCAUGUUGAACGCAUGCCUGACACUUAGUUGGCCGGAUAACUCGUUCCGACCGCGAAGCCGAGUAGUAUGACUCAGGCCGGAAGACCGGCAAGUAUAAAGUGCGCACUACCGGAGGAAGUGCGGUGUGCGGGGGACCAUUGGCGUAAGCCCAAAGACAGGUGAGUUAAAAUUCCUGACCUCCCUGGCAGAGUGGUAGCCCUAGGAGUGCGGCGCUGAUCGGAGCCGCGAUUCCUGAGUUGUACCAAUGGUGACCCGUUGGCUCUCUGACAGGGGGUGCUUGGGUGAGUGCUAGGAAUAACCCUCCAGCUGGAUAGGAAUUCGAUUCGAAUCGCUGUCUCUCCCGGUCAGUGAGAACUUGACAGAGCAGCGGCAAACGUAGCAUUCACUAAUAAACUUGGUUCAUGAGAAUGAUGAUAGCAAGAAGAACAGAUGAUGAACCUGAUAUGGUUAUUAUUGCUUGUAAUAAUCAAGUGAUGUAUUGUAGUACAGGUGCUAAUCUAGUGGUAGGCUGAUGAUAAAUAAAUAUGAUGCUCUUACAUUGUGUUAGUCUUAAUAAAGGCUUUUGGCAAAUAUGUCGAGCCCACUAGCUCUACUUUUAUAUCUUAGCCUUGCAUGAUCCUUGGUGUCUUUUAUAUUUUACUAGACGGGUAAGUCUAGCUGAGUACAUUCUCGUACUCAGGGUUUAUUCCCACCUGUUGCAGAUGACAUCUUCUAUGACGGUUUCUGCAAGAACUGUCUCCAUCCCGCUGGGGAUGAGGACUAACCGUUGGGCACGGUUCUCUAACAACCUCGUAUCUGAUGCUUUUGGAAGGAUGGUGUAGACUCUGACAAUAACCAAAAUCUUGUGAACUGAACUUUGAACAAGUGUGUGUAAUUAUUUUGCUUCCGCUACUUCGAACUUGUGUUGUAGUAACUUAAUAACUCCGAUGUGGUGCCACUUCGACGGCAAUGAAUGACUAUGUAACAUUCGCUGUGUUUAUGUUGAACUAUUACGAUCUUGGUUUGUUGUGAGUUGGUUUGAAGUCCUCUGUGAUUUCAAUUGACUACCGGGAUUAUAUGGGCUCAAGUUUGGAAACUUGAUUGCUUGUCGAUCGUUUCUACACUUGAACUCUUAUAAUUUGGUCGGUUCUGUGACAGCUGACAUCGGAGCAAGUUCAGCAUUAUAAAUGCAGCGUUUGUGUAUUUAAAAACAAAAGAGUUUUUAAAUAAAAUGGUGUAAAUCAAUAAUUAAGUUAUGCCAGUGGUCGAAUCCUCCUUGCCCACAUAUGGACUAUAGGUGGCUAUUUAAGUACUGACUUGGGGGGUUUUAUUUAUGCAUCUCCGGCAGUACUCAGGUAUGGAUGUGUGAUGACCGCACUAUGCUACCCUGUGGUCUAAUGGUGGAGGUAGCCUUCAUAUGUGAAUUAGCCACAUAUGCCGCUAGAUUUAAAUUAUGCAACGUCGCACCUACGCUUUGGUAAGUGUGAGCUGUGAGAGCAUGAUCGUCCAAACGGCGGUCUAGGGGAGUGUUCGCGGUGGUUUUCUAGAGUGGUUACAUGUCAAAACCAUGGCACCAUGAAAGAAACUUAAUUGGGGAACAUUUAAUUUCUCGGGUAGCUGUGGUGUCAUUGUUUGUGCGUGUUGGGCAUGUCCAAGCAAUGUGCACUUAGUUUACUGCUUUCUUGAGUGAUAUAUUGGGAACUGUUGGGCUGAAAUGAAGUUUUCUGCAGGUACUCUAACAACGCCCGUGUAAAACGAUAGUUAUCGUAUCGAGAGACGAAUGUAUGCCACCGUAUAUCCGUUAGAAUAUUAAUUUUCUAUGUUUGUGAGGACGUACGGUUCGUGCAUGCAUCAUGCCGCAUUCAUACAUACAUUCUAUCUACUCCUUCCCUUACAAUGUCGUCCCUUUUAAUUAAAUAAAUGUUACUUAAACUAAUCCUCUUUUACCCAUGGUAUUCCUAUUCCUUUCCACAGAUGGACGCACCCGCUUCACCCCGUCCCAGUGACACGUUCUUGCGCGAGUUUGGCACUCCUACCCUGCUUUGGAGAGUGUUACAGACUGUCGGGUAUACUGAGCCACCUCAGUAUUCUUGGUGGGAGUUGGAGAGCAUAGGAGGGAUACAGUGGUUUGCUGUGCAGGGAGUUGUCCCUCCACAUGGGGACAAGCCUGCAUGGACAGGCUGGACUUGUAGCUCAGAUGGGCAGACUCCUUGUGAGGCAGCUCAGGUUGCAGCCCAGACUAUCCUGCUCGAUAUCUGUCAGAGGUGUGGUGAUGAGCUGAUGGGAGGACCAGCGGCCUCCAUUCCCCGUGCUGACCCAGCAGCAGCGGAGUGGAAACAGGCUGAUGGUUGUGCUUUGGUUCGAGGUAGGGGAGAGAGAGCUAAGAGUUCUAUUCCUGCUAUGAGUGCUAUGAUGGCUGUGCUCAAGCGGAUCAGUCAGCGAGAGGACACCUAUGCACAGGUGAUGGUGGCUGUUCGCUAGGCUCAGGAGAUGCAACGGAAGGCUGAAAAGCGUGCUCGCAAGUUUCGCAAGCAAGCUAGACUCCUGGGGCAAGCUCAGAAAGACCGCAAUGACUAGGAAGACAUUGCGGAGCACCGUAGGCAGCAGUGGGUGAAGGCCAUUAGAGAGAGAGAUCAUAAGCAGGAUCAGAUGAGUCAGCUAGCUAGAGAGAGGGAGACCUUACAGGAGCGCUUGGUGCAGAUCACUCGUGAGAGGGACACUGCACUCCGUGUGUCGGAGAACAGGCGCCGGGCAUGGGAGAUGCACCGAGUUCAGUCUCUUGAGCGGGAGAACUAUCUGCAGGAUCAGAUUGAGGCUUGUCUUGUAGAGAUUCACCGUCUCAAUAACUUGCUACACCCUAUUCCUCGCCCUAUACCCGUGUAUCCAGAGGUGGGACCCCAGGUGAUUGUGGCCGAUGAUGAUGGUAUGGAGGUCAAUGGACCAGCGGCGGCUGCACCACCUCUACACGAGGACGUGGAGGACGAGGAGCUUGAGCCGGUUAGCGACGAGGAUGGAGAGGCGAUCUUCGACGCUGACUCGGACGACGAGCCUGGAGUGUAGGGAGUAGUGGGUAGUGUCUUGUGGGGAUCCUUUGUAGUCUGGCAGCUAGCGGUGAUGCUUUUGUACCCAUGUUGUAAUCCGGAGCUUUGACCUUGACUCAUGGCAUGUACUGUGAUGGUGUAAUAACUUUAUGGACCCAAUGUGCAAUCUUAACAUGUUUGUUAUGUUAUGACGAUGUUUCCCGUUGUGGUGCAUACUGCGGAUAUCUCUGUCAUGUGUUGGAUUGGUGAUGCUGUUUUGUGGAAUUGAAUUAUUGUGCCUUUUCUGUAAAGCUAUUCUCUCGAAUACUUUCAGGCAUAAAUAUAAGUUCCUCUGCGGCAAAUCUUGUCAUCAUCAAUGCUCACUGACUGUGUCUUUUCAGAUGUCUCGUGGCACCCGAGGUGCAGAACAGCGUGCAAACAUGAAUCCACCACCUCCUCCUCCACCACCCAAUCCUGCUGAGUUAAUGCAAAUGAUGGUGGACAAUCAGAGGAUGCUCACUGAGACCAUCAAUCGGAUGGCGAAUCAGGGUGGUCGUAAUGCACAUGAAGGGCCAGCUCCUAACCAGUAUAGUAGCUUCAAGGACUUCAUGGAUACAAAGCCCCCACCUUUCAGAGAAGCUGAAGAACCCCUUCAAGCUGAAGAAUGGUUGAACAUGGUGGAACAAAAGUUCCGCUUGCUUCGGUUGACUGAAGGUUUGAAGGCAGAGUAUGCAGCUCAUCAACUGCAGGGCCCAGCGGGCAUCUGGUGGAAUCAGUAUCGGGAAGCACUUCCAGCCGACACUGUGCUUGAUUGGAAUCUUUUCCGUGAUGCUUUUAAAGGGCAUUUCAUUCCUCCUGGUGUCAUGGAGAUGAAGCAUACUGAGUUUAUGCAGUUGACUCAGGGUAACAAAACUUUGAAGGAGUAUUUGCAUGCUUCCAAUCAUUUGUCUAGGUAUGCUCCUGAGUUUGUAAACACUGAGACCAAAAAGAUUGCUAGUUUCAAGCGGGGUUUGGGCCCCAAGUUGCUGAAGACUAUGGGCCGCACUAAGUGUGCAACUUUCAAUGAGUUUGUCAGUGAUGCUCUCACUCAAGAGAACUAUAACACUGUGUACACUACGACCAAGACUCGCAAGAGAGCUUUUGAGGCCGAGACAGGGACAUCUCAGUCCAAGGCUCCAGUGGCAGCUAAGCCACCAUUCCGCGCUCCAACGCCUAACCAGCGGUACCGCCCUCCGGUGAAGAAGAAUCAGGCGAAGACGGGUUUCCGCAAGGGGUACUCUAUUGCUCUUCCUAGGGGCAACACGGGUCCCAACUAUGCCAAGACUCCACCUGCCAACAGGUCAUGCUGGAACUGCAAUCAGACCGGGCAUUGGCAGAGCAACUGUCCUUACCCACCAAAGAAGGUCAACCAGGGGAACGUCCGUCAGGGGCGUGUUCACUACACCACUGUAGAAGCAAUCCCUGCUGGUGAGGUAGUUACGACUGGUAAGUUUCUGGUCAAUCAAUAUGACGCACUUGUGCUUUUUGAUUCAGGAGCAUCCCAUUCUUUUGUGAGUUGUGAAUUUGUGUCUAAGCAUAAUCUCAAGGCAAUUACCCUUGAUAAGGGCAGUUAUUGUAUUAGUGCUGCGGGAAAUGAUAUUUCCACCAAUCAAGUGGUUUUGGGGGCAACUCUAGAAAUAGGAGGCCGUCAGUUUCUUGCUGAUUUGGUUGUUCUACCCGGUGUGGGCAUAGAUGUAAUUCUGGGGAUGAAGUGGAUGAGUGGCAAUGGAGUUCUUAUCGACACCACCACUCGUGUAGUGAUGUUGAAUGACCCAAAUACCAAGGAGGCAUUUCUAGUGCAACUCCCUCGGGAUAUUCAAAUCCGUAGCCCUGUGAGUGUAGUUACAUCUAAGGCUAUUCAGGACAUUCCGGUGAUGUGUGAGUUCCUGGAUGUAUUUCCCGAUGAUUUACCCGGACUUCCUCCAGAUCGGGAUGUGGAAUUCAAAAUUGAGUUGAUUCCAGGUACCGCUCCUAUCUCUAGAACACCUUAUAGAAUGCCACCCAACGAAUUAGCUGAGCUUAAGACCCAACUAAAUGAGUUGUUGAAGAAGGGUCUUAUCCGUCCUAGUUCGUCUCCUUGGGGUUGUCCGGCUAUCUUUGUGAAGAAGAAGGAUCAAUCUUUGCACAUGUGUGUGGACUAUCGUCCCUUAAAUGCAGUAACCAUGAAGAACAAAUACCCUCUCCCUCACAAUGAUAUCUUGUUUGAUCAGUUGUCUAAAGCUAAGGUAUUCUCCAUGAUCGAUUUGCGAUCUGGGUACCAUCAGAUCAAGAUCCGUCCUGAAGAUGUACCUAAGACAGCUUUCUCGACGAGGUAUGGGUUGUAUGAGUAUCUCGUCAUGUCCUUCGGUCUUACAAAUGCACCUGCUCACUUCAUGUAUCUCAUGAAUUCGGUGUUCAUGCCCGAAUUGGAUAAGUUUGUGGUGGUCUUCAUUGAUGAUAUCUUGGUAUAUUCCUGCAAUGAAGAGGAGCAUGCAGAGCAUUUGCGUAUAGUGUUGUCGCGUUUGCGCGAACAUCAGCUUUAUGCCAAGUUUAGAAAAUGUGAGUUUUGGCUGAAGAAAGUACCUUUCUUGGGCCAUGUCUUAUCUGAAGAAGGCAUAUCGGUGGAUCGAGCCAAGGUGCAAGAAGUGCUGGAUUGGAAAGUUCCAACUUCGGUACACGAGGUUCGGAGUUUUCUUGGUCUGGCUGGAUAUUAUCGUCGAUUCAUUCCCGAAUUCUCAAAAAUAUCCAAGCCUAUGACUCGAUUACUUCAGAAAGAUGAGAAGUUUGUGUGGACGUCUGAAUGUGAAGAGGCAUUCCACAAGUUGAGGACAUUGCUGACAUCAGCUCCUGUCCUAGCUCAACCUGAUAUCGAAAAGCCCUUCGAUGUCUUUUGUGACGUGUCAGGCAUCGGGUUAGGCUGUGUGUUGAUGCAGGAAAGUCGCGUGAUCACGUAUGAUUCGCGCCAACUUCGAAAGCAUGAGGUCAAUUACCCUACUCAUGAUUUAGAAUUGGCAGCAGUUGUUCAUGCUUUAAAAAUCUGGAGGCAUUAUUUGCUGGGUAAUCUGUGUAAUAUCUACACCGAUCAUAAGAGCCUCAAGUAUAUCUUCACUCAACCUGAACUGAACAUGCGGCAGCGAAGGUGGCUUGAGUUGAUUAAAGAUUAUAAUCUGCAAGUGCACUAUCAUCCGGGCAAGGCAAACGUGGUUGCGGAUGCCUUGAGUCGGAAAGCGCACUGUCACUCAAUGCAAGUGGAAGAUCCGUUGUUGUCACACCUUAUGCAUCCACUUGUGCUCAACCAGAUUUCUCUGGAGAGUACUCUUCGCAAUCGAGUCGUCGAAUUGCAGCAAUCAAAUGUAGGCAUCCACCAUAUAAAGAGGAAAAUAACGGAAGAAGAAACCAAGCAUUUCCGGGUCGAUGAGAACGGGAUUCUUUGGUUCAAAGAUCGACUAGUGGUCCCAAAAGACCGCGAGCUGCGAAAUCAGAUCUUAUCUGAAGCUCAUUCAUCCAAAUUGUCUAUCCAUCCUGGUAGUAGUAAGAUGUAUCAGGAUCUGAAACCUUUGUUUUGGUGGACAAAGAUGAAAAAGGAGAUCGCUGCUUUUGUCGCGCGUUGUGACAAUUGUUGUCGUGUGAGGGCUGUUCACAUGAAAGCUGGUCUGCUUCAACCCUUGUCAAUUCCUGGUUGGAAAUGGGAAGAAGUCAGCAUGGAUUUCAUCAGUGGACUCCCAACUUCUGUUAAGGGUUACAACUCCAUCUGGGUGAUUGUAGAUCGUUUGACCAAGGUUGCUCGAUUUAUUCCAGUUCGAACUGACUAUCGUCCACAUCAAUAUGCAGAAUUAUAUUUCGAGCACAUUGUUCGUCAGUAUGGUGUGCCUCGAACUAUUGUAUCAGAUCGUGGGCCACAGUUCACUGCUCGUUUUUGGGAAUGUCUGCAUGAGCAGAUUGGUACCCAUUUAGUCCGUAGCUCUGCUUAUCAUCCCCAAAUGGCAGGUCAAACUGAACGGGUUAACCAAAUCCUAGAAGACAUGUUGAGGGCAUGUGCUCUCUCAUCAAAAGGUUCUUGGGUUAAGUGGUUGCCAUUAGCUGAGUUCUCCUACAACAAUAGUUAUCAGGAGAGUAUCAAGAUGGCACCAUUUGAAGCCCUGUACGGUCGAAAGUGUCGAACCCCGUUGAAUUGGGUAGAAGCCGAAGAGUGAAGGUAUUAUGGCAUCGAUUUCGUGAACGAAGCAGAGCAGAAAGUCCGUACCAUCCAGCAACAUCUGGAAGCUGCUGAAGCUCGUCAGAAAAGUUAUGCCGACAAAAGAAGGAAACCGAUUGAGUUUUCAGUUGGUGACCAUGUGUAUAUCAAGGUGUCUCCGAUGAAUGGUGUACAAAGGUUCGGAGUCAAGCGAAAGCUUGCACCUCGUUAUGUGGGACCUUAUCGGAUUCUCGAAAAGAAAGGGAAUGUGGCGUACAAAGUUCAACUCCCAGUUACGCUUUGGGCUAUUUUCCCUGUCUUCCACGUAUCACAAUUAAAGAAGUGCCUUCGUGUACCGGAGGAAUGAGUGGAAGUUCGAGACAUCAAGUUGAAGUCAGACCUGGUGUAUGAGGAGAAACCCGUAGCGAUUCUUGAUCGCAAGGAAUGGGAGACUCGUAAUCGUGUGGUUAAAUUCUAAAAAGUGUUGUGGAGUAACCACGGGGAGGAAGAUGCCACUUGGGAGACGGAGGAUUAUUUAAAUGAAGUUUACAAAACCUUCUUCGAAAAUCAGUAAGCUUUCAAAUCUCGAAACGAGAUUUUUGUAAGGGGGGAGGGCUAUAACACCCCAGUGUUAUGGUUGCAUUAAUCAAGUGCAUAGCAUGAGCACCAUCAUCCACUCAAAGCAUAUCAUGAUCAUCAUCUAUCUUGAGCCAUGUCAUUCUAUGCAAAUAUGUGAUCUAAAUUGCUUAAAUAGGCUUCCUAUGCUUAUGUUGAGUGAACCAUGCUUGUGUUUGUGCUCUAUGCCUUGGCAAUUAGUUUAUCUAUGCUUAACUUAACUUUGGGAACAAUGUUCAUGUUGAUCACUUCUCCAAAAUAUGCCUUUAAGUCAUACUUGUGUCAAUAGGCCCUAGAAACCUCUUUUCCUUAGGAUUUUAAAAAAGUGUUUCAUAAAAUGUUUGCAUAUCAAAACUUUCUACAAAAAAGUUGUACAAAAUUUUAUAAGGAACAAAAGUUGUUUUAUGGCCAUCUCAUGAAAAUGACCACAAAUAGCUCAAAAGUGACCCACAAGGCAGAUUUGGGGCUGUUUCCAACACUUAGAAAAUUUUCUAAGUCCUGGGACGAAACCAGUUUGCUUGAUCGAUUUUGAAAACUUCAUACCUCUCAAUCCAGGCCGAUCUAGCUUUUGCUCCAGUUGGCAAAGUUGUAGAUCUCGGCUAGCACUCCAACUUUGUCAACUACGCCAUCUCCUAACUCGCUCUGGUUUGGGAGCUAAUCAUCGACGAAGUAGCUCUGUCAGUCGGUGAUCGCGAGUUUCGAUUCAGAGCUGAGCUCGCCGGCGUGGAUGUCCCGAUCGACACCUGUCCGCCAGAUGUCGCCCGUACGCCGGCGAUGGCCCCGCUCGUCAGCUCCCAGCGCGUGCAUGACGUCCACGGCGAUGCCCCGAGCAGAGUGGACGCGUCCACUUCCGCUCUGCCUGGCACCUCUCGCCAGAAACGCGGCCGCCCUGAGCUCUCCGUCGCGAGCUUACUCCGGCGAGCUCGCGCGCGUUCCUUGCUGCGCCAUUGUCCACCAAAGUUCACCCAAAGCUCCGCCGUGAACCGCUCUCCAUUCUCCACCCACCAUCUCGCCGUGAAAUCCACCGGUGAGCCGCCAUUCCCUUCUUCCCCCAAAUCGGGUCGCCGUGACCAUCUUUUCCGACGAGCCCAGUGCCGAGCCCGGUGAAGCCUCUUGUCUCCUCUAAUCAGGUCGUAGAGGUAGAGUAGGUCCUUAGCGAGCGUUUGCGCCACAUGGUAGACGCUCUACCGAGCUCUCCGUCGCCGGACAUGAUGCGCAGCGCCGCCGUGUUUCCGCCGGAGAUGGGUGCUCUCGUGGCCAGCGUGUUCCACGAGGUUUCAAGCCAAGCCACGUACCUAGGAAGCUUCGCCGUAGUCCGCUGGUGCUGUAGAAGGUAUUAGGUCACGCUCUACCGGCCUGAGGGCUCCGGCGUAACGCCGAGCACCUCCGCCGAGCCGCCAUCGUCGACGGUGAGCCCCUUCUGGUGGCUCCGCCGUGGGGAAAAGGGGGUCAAUCGAGUCGCUAGAGUCUGGGGAUCACGUUGGUGCCCCUGGUUUGGCCAGAGACCUCGCCGUCGCGGAGAAAUCACCGGCGAAAGUCGCCUCGGCCGUGAGGAAGAAGAACCUGACAGCUGGGGUCCACUGUCAGUGUCACCUCUUUCCCUCCUUUUCUUUUAUUCAAAAUCCUGAUUUUUGGCUUUCUUGCAAAAAUCAUAUCUCUUGUUUCUGAGAUCCAAAAAUUGUGAAACCAAUUUUGUGGUAUUCCUUGAGAUGGCUAGUUUUUAUGAAAAAUAUAAAAUGAACCAUGUUUUCGGGGAAAAUAUUUAUUAAGGAUUUAAUCUUGUUAUUCAUGGAUAAAUUCAUAUCUCUGGUUAUACUAUUUUGUUUGCUCUGAAAAUUUUAUGGUAGUCUCUGUGUGGUAUUGCAGUGCUUUGAAAAAUAUUUCAUGAUUUUUGGAGUACUGCAGCUUUGUUAGUGCGGCGCUGAUCGGAGCCGCGAUUCCUGAGUUGUACCAAAGGAGACCCGUUGGCUCUCCGACGGGGGAUGCUUGGGUGAGUGCUAGGAAUAACCCUCCAGCUGGAUAGGAAUUCGAUUCGAAUCGCCGUCUCUCCCGGUCAGUGAGAACUUGACAGAGCAGCGGCAAACGUAGCAUUCACUAAUAAACUUAGUUCAUGAGAAUGAUGAUAGCAAGAAGAACAGAUGAUGAACCUGAUAUGGUUAUUAUUGCUUGUAAUAAUCAAGUGAUGUGUUGUAGUACAGGUGCUAAUCUAGUGGUAGGCUGAUGAUAAAUAAAUAUGAUGCUCUUACAUUGUGUUAGUCUUAAUAAAGGCUUUUGGCAAAAAUGUCGAGCCCACUAGCUCUACUUUUAUAUCUUAGCCUUGCAUGAUCCUUGGUGUCUUUUAUAUUUUACUAGACGGGUAAGUCUAGCUGAGUACAUUCUCGUACUCAGGGUUUAUUCCCACCUAUUGCAGAUGACAUCUUCUAUGACGGUUUCUGCAAGACCUGUCUCCAUCCCGCUGGGGAUGAGGACUAACCGUUGGGCACGGUUCUCUAACAACCUCGUAUCUGAUGCUUUUGGAAGGAUGGUGUAGACUCUGGCAAUAACCAAAUACUUGUGAACUGAACUUUGAACAAGUGUGUGUAAUUAUUUUGCUUCCGCUACUUCGAACUUGUGUUGUAAUAAUUUAAUAACUCCGAUGUGGUGCCGCUUCGACGGCAAUGAAUGACUAUGUAACAUUCGUUGUGUUUAUGUUGAACAAUUACGAUCUUGGUUUGUUGCGAGUUGGUUUGAAGUCCUUCGUGAUUUCAAUUGACUACCGGGAUUAUAUGGGCUCAAGUUUGGAAACUUGAUUGCUUGUCGAUCGUUUCUACACUUGAACUCUUAUAAUUUGGUCGGUUCUGUGACAGCGGUUCCGAACAAGAGCCGAUAGGUGACUGCGGCCAUUAUGUUGACGUUUGAUCCGAUGUCACAAAGUGUCUUUUAGAAAUUGUACCCGUUGAUGGACCAGUGGAUGCUUGGCAUGCCUGGGUCGUCCUCUUGGUCAGAAACGGUGACUUAAGUUGAUGAUCUAGACCUCCAUGAACUGCAGUGACCAUCUUAGCUGACUUGGUCCACACUUGCUUGUUCCUGUUCCUCCUAUUGGUCCUCUUCCUUGGUCCAUGUCUGGAUUGCUCUGGAAUUUGUGUAGUCUUGUUCUUGAAGGAAACAGUCUCCUUCCUCCCUUUGAUGUAGAAACUGAUCUUGGCAGCACUGGCAUAGAUGACAGCUCCCGAGGUGUUCAGGAAUGGCCUCCCUAAGAUGAUGGGUGCCCUCUCUUCAUUACCGGUCUCUAUCACCACGAAGUCUGCUGGGGCGUAUAAGGUACCAACUCGGACGUAGAGGUUCUUCAAUAUUCCCUUUGGGAAACUUAACGUCCACUCUACAAACUGCAAAAAAAUGGUUGUUUCUAAUAAAGGAUAUGUAAAGAAUUUUUCAUAGAGUGCCCUGGGCAUAAUGUUGACACUAGAGCCAAAGUCGCAGAGUGCUUUUGGGAAGUCCACCAUGCUGAUGGAGAUCGGGAUGAUGGGGCAUCCUGGAUCGCCUCUCUUGACCGGCAGAAGGUCAGUAGUUACUUCAGUGAUGGGGUUACUCCAGUUGUUACCUGCAUCAAACAUGUCUACAAGAUUUGCAGAUUCUAAUCCUUUCGGUUGUGGUGGUAUACCGGGGUUAGUAGCAGGAACAACAGCAGCUAUUUGAUUUAACUGAGAUUCAAUCAUUUUAUUAAAGCUAAUUUAAUUCUUGAUGGCAGUAGAGAAAUUAUCCAUUCUAUUAUUUAUAUUUUCUAGCAUUUUAACAUUAGAUGCCAAUUUCUUUCAUAGGUUAUCCAUUAGCUUUCCUUGAUUAGACACUAACUCUCUCAAAGGUGGAAAAUUAUUAUUAUUAUUAUAAGAAUUGUUACCUUGAUAAUUACCUGAGUAGUUAGGCCUCUGUUGAUUCCAACCUUGAUUUUGUUGAGGACGAUUAUAGUAGUUGUUGUUGUUAUUGUUGAUGCAGUUCACAUCCUCAAGCAUCUUAGGGAACUGUUUGCCUAAGUGUCCGGUAUCUCCACACUCCUCACAAGUCAUGUGAGAGUCGUAGAUGUGCAUGACUUCUUUCUUAUCUCUAGCUCUAUCAUCGAGCUUCUUCAUGAGAAGGUCUAGCUUAGCAGACAGCAUGUCUACCUCCUUGAGCGGGUGCAUACCUCCACCUCUCUUGCGUGUCUGGGUCCUUUCUUCAUUCUAGCCUUGGUUGGACGCCAUCUUCUCCACAAGAGCUGUGGCUUGUGGUAUGGUGAGUGAUAGGAAUGCUCCUCCAGCUGCAGCAUCCACGGUCUCUCGGGCACUGUUGCCGAGCCCAUGAUAAAACGUCUGCAUCAGUAGCCAACUCUCCAUUCCAUGAUGGGGACAUUUUAGGAUGUAGUCUUGGAAGCGCUCCCAUGCUUCUGGAACAGAUUCAUCAUGUUGUUGCUGAAAUCUUGUAAUUUUCCCACGGAGAGCAUUGGUCUUGCCCAUGGGAAAGAACUUAUCUAUAAAUUUCGUUGAGCAGAGUGCCCACGUUGUAUUCUUCUCCUUUGUAGCGUAGAACCACUGCUUCGCUCUCCCCAACAGUGAGAAUGGGAAGAGGCGAAGUAGUAUAGCAUCUCUGGGGACUCCUGACAUGGUAAAUGUGCUGCAAAUCUCCAGGAAGUGUUGGAGAUGAGCGCUAGCAUCUUCGUGUGCCUCCCACAGAACUGAUUGGAUUACACCAUGUUGAUAAGUCCAGGCAUGAGCUCAAAGAUGUCGUCGAUCUCUGCAGCAGGUCCAGUGUGGAUGUUGUCCGUAGUGGGAGCUGAGAACUCACGGAUCGAUUUGUUCGCCAUGACUUCGAACUCUGAAGACAAGUUUCAGGUGAAACUUCGGUGAUCUUCUUGAUUGGAUGAAGCUUCGUGCUAAAGUGUUGAUGAUCUCUUCUUGAGCUUGGCUCUUGUUUUUCUGAAUAACGCUUCGGGGUUGUCAACAAAAUUUCCUGGAAGAUGUCUUCUAUUCAUACAUUACCCUGCAUAAGAUAAAAUAGGAAAAUAUCGGGGUAAAACUGUAUGAGAGAAUUGAUAAUCUCAAUCAUAUUAGUGAUGCGAAUGAUGACUCAAAAUUCUAUAUUCAUUCCUGAUUAGUAAUCAACCUUCCCCGGUAACGGCGCCAAAAAUGCUUGUUGGGCAUUCUUAACGUCACUACCAAAGGUAGACUUAGUUUUCUAAUUCUGAUAACGGCGCCAAAAAUGCCAAACCUAUCCCUCAUGCCACUUAAGCCAAGUUGUCAUCCCCAGCAUGACAUGAGAGACGUGUUAUUGAAAUAUGCAAUUGCUCUUCUGAAUAAAUAAUUAAUGAGAAGUAUUCUGAUAAGUAUUCUAGGUAUCGUUAUUUAUAUUUUUACCACUGGGAAGGGAUUGCUAAACAUCAAUGUUGAUCAUGGAAUGGAAUAUAAGAUUGAGUAUCUUCAUUGCAUGUAUAAUUGAGAGCAUUUAUCUAUCUCUUUCGUACAGGGAUAAGUGUCACAUAAAAGAUAGAUAAUGUAUGAAUGGUGACAAAGAUAAUUAAUCUGAUCAGCAUAACUUAGCGACAUAUAAAUAUGAUAAGCACCUCAAUAGAUAUUCUAGCAAGUCAUUAGCAUGGAAUUAGGACGAACUACAAGAAUGUUUCCUAAGUUAUUCUUAACUAUAAAGUCUAGCAUAUCAUAGUUAGUGCAAUUAUACUUGGCAAUCAUUGCGGGACAGGACUACGCCCAUGCAUAGUGAUAUUAUAAAUGAAUAUGAGAAACAUAGCAAUCACUCCCUUGUAAUAAUGUUGCUCUUCCAGCCCUAUACAUGAGAGGGGGACUAUAUAAGAAUUAAUGGAACUGUCACUACCACGAGCUAUCCCUUGAUCUGGCAUAUAGGGUACAAUCGCAGAUAAAUACGGUAUAGGCACCACGCCUACACAAUACUUAUCAUUUACCCACUGUACACAUGGAUAAACUCUAUAUGAUCCUAAACAUGUAUAUAAUUCCAAUCUAACUAAGCCAAGCAUAUAACUAUGAUAAACUAAGAACAAUAUAAUUGCGAAGUCAUAAUCAAUAUAUUGAAGUAGAACAAAGUCAUAUUCAUAAUAUUGAAGAACAAAGAUGAACAAUUGAAGAAUAGUAGAGGAAUUACCAAGAAUCCUCUUGACUGAUCCAGAAACCAAUCGAAGAUUGACUCCUUCUAGUUCUAAUCCUAUGUAGCUAUGCUAAACUAGAGAUCUAAUUGAUGUGGUGGCUCUAGGGCUUGAUUAGAGGCUUCUUCUCCCAAGAUAAAUAAUGAAUUAAGGAUCUGAGGGAUAGAGGUCCUCUCCUCCAAUGGCCAGGGGGUCUGCUUAUAUAGUCCUUCCAAGUGAAUAUGGGCUGUUGGAUCAAACCGACCCUAAUCUCAUAGUUUUCCUUGAUCCUUUAGGUCGGUGGAGCAUGAUCCAUGAAGUUGAACGUGAUUGGCUCUAAGGCUAGGGCGGGCGCCCUGCCCCCGAGCCCGUCCGGUCUCCCGUUCGUUCCCGUGGCUUCUGGACUCUUCUAGAUGUAGGGUAAUUGUGCAGCACGUUAAUAUCUCUAUGUAAACCCAACGUGUGGGCCUUUCCUCCAUAUUUCAUGAUAACCCCCUACAGAAAUAGACAAACACCAAAACUUGUGGAAUUCUGUCAGAUAAAACCCUAAGUCUGGAUGUCGAUUGCAUUUGGAUCCUUUUCUUUGUUUAUUUGUUAAUUAAAUUUGAUACUUAAGGACCGUCAACAAAGAGGUCGAUUGCCUCGGUGAUCUUGAAGCUUUCCUCUUCGCAGGUGUAUGCCGUGUAGACGUUGCCUCUGACAGUCAAGACACCCUUCUCGGUUGGCAUCUUGAGGGCUAGGUAUGAGUAGUGCAGAACUGCCAUGAAUUUGGUGAGCGAAGGACGGCCUAGAAUAGCGUGGUAGGUCCCGUCGAAGUCAGCGACCACGAAGUUGACGAACUCUGUGCGGAAGUGAUCAGGAGUUCCAAACUGGACGGGCAGAGUUAUCUAGCCAAGUGGUACUGAGCUUUGACCUGGCAGGACGCCCCGGAACUGAGAGUCAUACGGUUUCAGCUGCGCCGGAGUUAGCUUGAGAGCAGGCGGGCUGUUGCGAAACAGGAUGUCGAUGGAGCUGCCCCGUCGACGAGCACACGCUCGAAUCUGACACUAUUGAUGCACGGGUCCAGGAUCAACGAGAAGCACCCUGGUGCUGGGAUGGCAGCCCACUUGUCCUGUCUGUUGAAAGAAAUCUCUCGGUGCAACCAAGGAGGGAAUUUAGGAUCGGCGAUCAAACCAUCAGCGCUGUCCACAUUAAGGCAAGCCCUCUUCAAAAGUUUUCUUUCCUGUUUUGACUCAAUGGAGACAUUUCCUCCAAAGAUGGAGUGUACCACGUCGGUGGGACUGACAUAUUGGUGUCGUGGGUCCCUAUCGUGAUCAUCGUCCUCGUCUUCCUGACUGCGUCUGUCCUGUUUCCCGUUUUUCUUGGCGGCAUCUCCCUGAGCGGCCCGCUGUGUGUAAAUGCUUUUGAUGACACGGCAUUCUUCCAUCGUGUGGUUAGACUUGGGAUGGAGUUGGCACGGUCCUUUAAGCGUCUUGUUGUAGUAUUCCUGGUAGUCUCGCCGUCCAUUGGGAUGCUUGACUGUGUUUACUCUGUGGUCGUUGUCGCCAGGUCCCUUGCCUCUAAAAUCGUCACGAUUAUCACGACGCCUGUCCCACGCUUCUCGAUGGUCGCGGUAGUUGCCGCGGUGGGGAUUCCAACUGUCGAAAUGCCCACGGCUAUCGUCUCGUUGAGGAGGCUGCUCGGCUCCUCGCAUGUCUUCUCGGAUGAGCUUUUCUGCGUCAUCAGCAUCGGCGUAGUUCUUGGCUGUGGCGAGGAGCUCGGCGACCGUGUUCGGCCUUUUGCGUAGUAACUUGCUUCUUAAUGCUUUGUGGAAGCGUAAGCCUUUGAUGAAGGCCGAUAUGGCCUCGUCGUGGGAAAUCUUCGGAAUCUUGAGGCGCGUAUCCGAGAAACGUUGGAUGUUGUCGCGUAGGGGCUCGUUCUUCCUGUCCCUUAUCCUCUCAAGGUCGUAUUUAUUUCCAGGCUGCUCGCAGGUAGCAAUGAAGUUAUCGAUAAAUGCCUGGCGCAGUUCAUCCCAAGAAUCAAAAGAAUCCUCGGGUAAACCAAGGAGCCAUUGGUGGCUAGCUUGGUCAAGGACGACUGGGAAAUAGUUUGCCAUGACGUGCUCGUAUCCUGCUGGUGAUCGGACUGCGAUCUCGUAAAGAGUGAUCCAGUUUUUAGGAUUCUCUUUGCCAUCAUACUUUUUAAGCUUCUCGAGCUUGAAGUUGUGGGGCCAUACGACUUGCCGAAGAUGUGAGGAGAACUGUCUUAGGCCGGGGGGGCAUGUGCUGCAUCGUACUUGAUGCGUCGCACGUUUUCGUGUACUGCUCGCUCCGUAAUGUGCCUGUUGAUGCGUUUGUGGACAUCCUUAGCAGGAAUGUUGUGUCAUAGGUCUCGGUCUUGGUUUACCUCCUGACCACGCCCUCGUCUUUGUUCGUGGUAAUUUCUAGGAUCCCAACCACGGUUAUCGCGAUGGGUGUCCUUCCUGCGAUAGUUGUCGGGUGAACGGCUACGACGAUGCUCGGUGGGUCAUGGUGAAGUUCUGCUGUGGUGAGUCUGGUCAGACGAAUCCUCUAUAUAGGAGACGGCUUGAAUCCUUUUGAGUAAAGUAGCGGUCUCUCCCAUCGCGACGAUUAGAUGUGCCGUAUAUUAGAUCGGAUGUCCUAGUAUUCUAGGGUAUCGGGAAGUCGAUCUAAGUUUGCCAUGGCAACGGCCACAUUAGUGCCUGGUGUCUUGUAGACUUGCUGAUUUCUAACCAUGUCGAAAGCGUCACCGAGGUUGUUUGAGAUCAGCUACCGCUCCUCAUCUGCUCGCCGUUGGGCACGGUCAGCGUUGCGCUGUUCGCGUUGCAGUCUCUGUUCUUCGGUUUCACCGUCGACAACCAGCUCGUCAUUGCUGACGUUGAGAACCAGGUCUCCUCAUCAAGGUGGAAAGACUGGGAAGCAGGAAAAAACCGGGGGAUAGGGCGGCAGAUCUAAAUCGUAAUCUUCAUUCUCAGGGUGUAGAACCUCGGUAGAGACGGAACUUGUACUUGAAUUUGUGCUGUCGGACUUAUCUUUCGGCAGAGUGUGGAUGGAUACCAUAUUGACGAAGUGACGGGCUGUUCGCCUGGUUUGGCUUGGCGACAAGCCCAUCUUCUCGAACAGGAAUUGGGUACACCGCGAAAACUGAUCAGCCGCGUUGCUCAGACCAUGGGGGAAGUUCUGAUCUGGCAAGAUUGUCUUGAGCUUGACAGUCCGUCCCAUGGUGGUCGAUGUUAUCGUUAGGGACGUCCCCAGCCGUUCGUGCGUGGUGACACGAGUUGGUCGAUGGAAGUCAGAAAAAUUCAAUGCUGAUGCUUGAUCAGGCUUGCGUGAAAUCAAAUCCACCAGGUUGGAGGCUUCAAGAAGUUUGUGGUCGGCACGAUCGAGGGCUUCAAGAAGAUCCGAGUUGUCGACUCGUUUUCCCUUGUAGCGAGGGAGCGGAGGUCCGGCCCUCAGAGUCGUCACGACCGUGGUCGGUGUGAUUGGGACCAUCUCCUCUGUUGCCCCAGAUUGGAUCUGAGUUUCCUCCAAGGUCGUGGUAGUAAGGCAGCCAUCGUGAGUCGUCCAAGUGAUCUGGCCGACGGUGAACAUGAGACCUUCGGUCAUGGUAGCAGAAGCUAGGAUGAUGACCAUCUUGUUCGUCUGGUAAGUUGUACGCACACCCCCUACCUGGCGCACCUCUGUCGAUGAAAGCUGGUCGGUAGUCUACCUUGGGGUAUACCCAUGGUAGUAGUUUAUCGGCAGACAGAUGCGCAAGCUAUGAACUUGAUGGUGACGCAAGACACAGACAAGGUUUUUAUCCAGGUUCGGCCACUGUGUGGGCAUAAUACCUAAGUCCUGCGUCUAAUUGUAUUGUUGUGGAUUGAAUUGUGUUGAGUUGAGUUGUCUAUGAGGGUCCCUUGCCUCUCUUUAUAUAGUCCAGAGGGCAGGGUUACAGAUCUGGAAACUAAUCCUAGUUGGUUACAAUUGCCAUAGAUAAUACGAUAUCAAUUCCUAUUCUAAUCGACUAGAAUCUUGCUUGAUCUCCACGUCUUGUUUCUUUGGGCGAAACUCCGAGCAGUUGGAUCAAGCCCCGAAUCUGUCUCGUGAUGGACCAAGUCUCCUGGUCCAAGUCUAGCCGUAAGGGUAUAGGGGUUUAUACGCCCACAACUCGAGGCGCUUUUCUGUGGCUGCCCCUCGACGUCGAGAGGUCUGUUGAUGGUUGUUGAUAUUUGGUAACGCAAUCAGGAAAUGAUCCGCAAGCGCACCGAUAUCGGUGAGCAUUUCACCCGGGAGGUUAUCCAGAGUUAUCGUAUUUAUAUUUUUACCACUGGGAGAAAGGGUGCAUCUAACUAACCAAAUCUAUUGCUACUACCCCUUUAGGCUACAAAGAAUGUUUCUCGAUGUGAGUGAUGUAUAGAGAAGACUGCAACCGUAGUCUCAUUCUAACCUUGGUAAGGAUGAUCUACUGUUCUAUUGGGGAAGCUUACGGAAUCUAGACACCAUAAAGGAUGUUCGACCCGCACCUAUAAACCUACCCGUCCUGCUAACAAGAUAUGGGAUACAAAGGUAACUCGGAAAUCUCAAGUUCCUCGCUACUACCACGGUCCAGCUAGUCAGGGGAUAUCUAUGAGUACCCUAGCCUAAACACCACGUUUACGCUAGCAAUAAUUACUCUAAUACUCAACCGGAAGAGGAUUAAAGUAAACUCAUAAACCAAAGAACAAUAAAACAAGAACUUACUAGAAUUAGAAGUCGAAUUACUGAAGAAUCUUAGAAGCAAGCCUCGGGUUAGGAGACUUGAUCCCGCAGGUACAACUCGGAGUAGACACCGACAGGCCGGCCUUCCUCCGAUCUACACCUCCAUUCUAUCUCUCUCAAUCUAGUAGAAACUAGAAGAUCUAUUUUUACUUUACAUUGGAUGCUAAGCCUAAAAAGAAAUAUUAUUUAGAAAAGAGGUUUUCCUUCGAGGGCACCCCUCAACUCUAUGAUAACUUCUUGUCUUCUCCAGGGUCCAGGGGGGUCUCCUUAUAUAGUCCUCCUCCUCUAUGCAUUUUUGGGUCGGUAGGCGAUGUGGUACGACAUUAUCCUUGAUCCUUUAGUUCGGUGGAACAUUCUGUGCGAAGAGAGUCCCGAACGGAGUCCAGGACAGGGCGGGCGCCCAGGGAAAGAGGGCGGGCGCCCUGGGCCUGGCCCCCUUUCGGCCUCUGCUUUCUUCCCGUGGCUUCUGGAGUCUUCUAGAUGGUAGAAAAUUGCGCGGUGCGUUGAUAUCUCUAUGUAAUCCUGACAUGUGGGCCUUUCUUCCUUAUUUCCCGAUAACCCUCUGCAGAAAUAGACAAACACCAAAACUCGUGGAAUUCUGUCAGAUAAAACCCUAAGUCUGGGUGUUGGUUGCAUUUGGAUCCUUUUCUUUAUUUAUUUGAUGAUUAUAUUUGGUACUUAAGGACCGUCAACAACUCCCCCAAGCUUACCUCUUGCUCGUCCCUGAGCAAGGAUGGAGUCAAGAGUUUCUGCAGUGGUUUCAUGCCUUAAAAGUACACAUGCGUUCAAUCAAGAUCUCAUCUCUGAGUUAGAGUAAACUGUUAAGAGUUAAAACUUACUCAUUUUACCUUUCACCAUGGGGCUUGCAACCGUCACUUGUGUCUUGAGCAGUUAAAAGAUAGAACGGUCAAGUCAAGCGCCAUGUCUCUUGUUCUUUGAUUAACCAUAACUCUGGAGUUUUUGCAGAUUUUCAAAUAAAACUCAGAGAUUCCUUGUAUGACUCUCUCAAAUCUCUCUUUUGUGGUAUUUUCUGGAUCCUUUCCAAGGCAGUAAUGGUAUAUGCCUUCUCUCAAAGUAUGUGGUAUUUUUGGUAUAAGGCAUAGUGAUAUUGCCUUCUCUCUCAUCCUACUCUAAUAAGGUUUGAUAUUUGGAGCUCAUAGGUGGGAGACUGACAAUACAUACUUACAAGACAUUUAUUGCAUAGUCAAACCAUGGAUCCAGAGAAACAAGUCAAUAAGUCAAAUCAAGAUGUGCAUGUGUGGCGAAUGAAUUGUGUAUGGUGAUGAUGGUGAUAACAAUGGUGAAAGUCUAAUUCUACUUUUGCUCUUUUAAGGGGAUACAUACCUUUCUUGCACUUUGAAGCUUUUUGGGGAGAAUGAGAUGCUCUAUAUUUUCUUUUUCUUUUCUCUCAGGUGGGUAUCUUGUACCCUAAUUCUACUGUCGGACACUUGUCCAUUUUUACCUCUCGUCUCACUUUUUCUUUUCUUCGAGGUUUUGGGCACUUGUCCCUUUUUAUUUCCUCGUAUUUUUUUUCUUUUUUUUCUUUUUUUCUCUUCUUCUUUUUCUCUUCUUCUUUUUUUAGGACUCAUCUCCUAAAAUAAUGUAGCAAGUGGUAGUAAACAAAAUAACUCGAGCAUUUAUUCCACAGGGAAUAACAGGGAUAGGAUAAUGUUUUUGGCUAUUCUCUCCCGGAUUAGGAGUAGAACACUUUUGGGUGAAUCUGGAGAUGGAAAUGAGUGGAUGUAUGUGGAUGCGUACUUCCGGAGUAGAAGCAGCAUAUACGAGUGAACAUGCAAGUGAAUCUUGAUUUUAACCACAUGACAAGCUCCUAAGGGUCUACACAGCUUGACCACACUCAAUGCUCAUAAGCAGUAAAAAGUAAAUGUUUGGCUUAAAGUCUAAUAAGCAUGUAUAUAUGGCUGUGGUAGGAUUUUAAACUCUCAUCAUACAGGAACUCAUCAUGUGAUAUUUUAAAGAUUUUUCAAAGAUAAAAUUCUCUAAAAUUCUAGAAUCUCUAGGAACAGAUAAACAGCAGCUCAACCUUCCCAUGUCAUAUCCGUUAACAACUUAGACUUUAGAUCAAGUACUUUUCCCAUAAGUUCAGGUUUAGAGUAGGUUUAAAUUAUAACAGUUAUGCCUAAACUUGAGAGAGAUUUCAAUUUUAAGAACUAGUCAUGGCAGAGCAACUAUUCAUCAUUUCCUUGUGAGAGCUUAUCAUAAGGGUUCAUAGCAAACUUUAUUUAUUUAGUAAACUAAGCAAAGAUAUAAGCACAAAAUUUUUAUUUGGGUUUUCAUGGUUAUGCAUCUUUUUAUUAUUUGAGUAAAAUAUAAACACGAGUAGAAACACUUAGCUAGAUAAAUGGGGGAUGCUCUCCCCCAAGCUGGAUUUUGACAUAAUUUCUUCUGAUGUAGCUAGCAAGUGACGGAGGUGUAUUCGAAAGUUGGCAGUACCCUGACAGUGAUUAGGAUAUCCUCCGUCUGCUAGUCUUCUUUGAUCCUUGAAUUCUCUGGAGCUCAAAUAGACAACAAAGCUUUGUGGAACUGGUUAAGUGUUAGCAUAAAAUCUCUUUGCCUUUAUCAUAUUGAGCUUCCUCCUAAUAAAUUUUAUUUAGCAGGAUCAUGCACUUAUUAUUUGUAUUUUUAUUGUAAGAUGAAAACAUAUUUAUUUUAUGCCACCACAGUGAAUGUACCUAUGGGUUUUAUGCCAUGAGCAUACUCACAUGGGGCUUACUAUUUUUAACAUUUAAAUUUUCUUUUCAAGAUAUCAUGAACCUGAUUAACUAAGCAAACUAUUGAAUGGAAAAGGAUAACUACCAAGUUUACCUCUUGGCAAGGCGUUCGAUGUUUUUAAGUCCUCCGAACGGGACACUCUGUUUUCUCAGUUGUCCUGGGAUUCGCUGGAUGUCGUAGUCGGUGAUUCCGGUGGCGCCUCCUCUUCGUGUAUAACUAUCUUCUUCCUCAACACCUAACUCGGUGCUACGGUCUCCUCAGGACAGUUCUGUUCAAGCUGUAUGUCUUCAGAUCUUACUACUUCUUCUUCGUAAUCUACCCAUCCGUCCUUGAUGAUUUGCCUCCUCUGGUUGCGGUUGCGUUGUCUUCUUCUUGUCCUCACCUGCUUAGAGUCUUCAACUAUAUAGUUAGGGUCAGUAAAAUAGCGGUGUACCUUCUCAGAGGAGAAGUGUAUGUGGAAUUCUCUGAUUCCAAUAUAGAUGAUGACUUUGAUAGUGUUGAGAAACGGUCUUCCAAGGAUGAUGGGUGGAUCGUACUCGUCUUCUCCCAUGUCAAUGAUCUGAAAAUCAUCUGGAGCUGAUUAUAUAUUGGUUGUAGGGGCAUGGUUCCAUGCAGGAGCUGAUAAGUGAUUGCGGCCAUUAUGUUGACGUUAGAUCCGGUGUCGUAGAGUGUCUUCUAAAAAGAGUAUCUGUUGAUUGUGCACUCAAUGCUUGGAACACCAGGGUCGUCCUUCUUGAUCAAGAAAGGUGACUUGAGUCGACGAUCUUGACCUCCUCCGACAAGGAUCCAAAGUUUUAAAUCUUUUGGACAAGACUUCUCACUGUCUUCAUCCUUAAGGUGCAUCAUUUGAUUAGGUGUGGACCUUGACGUCUGCACUUCUUGAUACGGUGUCACCUAUAUUCUUUGAUUGCCCAGUAGUUCGUAGUGCGGUGUUGGCAAUAUCCUGCUGAGUGUGUUUGUGCUCGUAGAUCCAGGUCCUUCACUUCAUGGAGUCUGGGAGUUGUAAAAUUCCUUCACGUUUCUCAAAAUGUGUCCUGCUCAUAGAAACAAGGCAGGGAUCAAGUGCAUGGGCUCUGUUGGCGGAAAACACCAACAGAACCAAAAGUGUAUUUGUUCUUCUCUAAUUUUUAAGCAUAGUGAGCAAGACAAAGUUGAUGGAUCAUGAGUGUAGCAUUUGUCAGAUCAGAUGGCUCAACCUAAUGGAAAUAUAAUCUAUCUAUAUUUAUGUUUUGUUUAUAUUUUCUAGAGAUUGAAUGUGCAACAUAUUAGCUUAUAUGAUUAGGAGCGUGGGAUCACGAAGGUAGUACUAAGAAGGACUAAACAUGCUGAAUCAGUUGUGUUGGUUAAUUUGGAGCUACAAAUCAUACAUGUUUGUCUCUUUAUUUAUGUGAAUGUUAGAACCAAGG
rnacentral:lncRNA from 1 species